CCCCUUGUUUCUUUGAGCCGUUUUGAUCAUGUGCUUAUUUUAGUGGCUCUGUCCUUGGAUGGUCAUUUCUGAUGAGUGAUAACCAGGGCAGUUUCACCAUUGUAAGAACAGAUUCAUCCGGUGAUGGAGACACUAGGGAAAGGGUCAUAUGAUCGAGCAAAGGCGAAUCUGAGCCCAUUCAAAUGCAGUUCUGGUCUCAAAGCACAAUCUGCUAUGUUGCCAUUCUGUAUUUGUAUUUAGCGCCUCCUUGGUUUGCAGGAUUUUAAGAACACAACAACAACAACAACAACAACAAAGCCUUUAGUCCCAAACAAGUUGGGGUAGGCUAGAGGUGAACACACUCAAGGAAAAAUUGCAGGAUUGCAUUGUUAGGGCAUCUCCAUCGCAGACCCCCAAGGUUCCGUCCGCAAAUGUCCGCGGACAUGUCCUGACGUGUCUGCGGACUGCCGGCCGGGCCUAGGCCAUUCUUGCUAGGGCGAUGAUGAUUGACCAUGGCUGAAAUAGUGUGCCUUUGAGCAAUCGAGGCACCUGUGGGUAUCAAGUUGGAUGCUCCCUCUUGUCUCUAGAAUCCUUUGAUCCUGUGAUACUGAUUGCUCUGUCCUUGGACGGUCAUUCUUGUUGAGUGAUAACCAGGGCAGCUCCACAGUAUAAACUGGUUGAUCUGGUGAUAGCAGAUGAUGUGGGUAGGUUAUAUGAUCGAGCAAAGGCGAAUCUGAGCCCACUAUGCAAUAUAAGCUCCAGUGUUUAUAUCUGUCUUGUGUAAAGAUUUCUUCUCUUAUACCUUCAUUGCAUAAGUUAUGCUUGAUCUUUUAUCGUUCGCUGUUGCUCCUUAAUUUAAUCUGGUUAAGAGUAAGUUGCACUUUGUUACAUUAGGAAGACUUGCUCCCAGCAAAUUAUCGGUUGAAUGGCUUGUUUUAAUUAGUUGUCAUACUAUUAUUUCUAUUUUUCCGCAAGUUACCAGUUGCAGCUACUUGUUCUUACAUGCUACAAAUAAUAAUGCAACUGGAUUUUUUUGGAGAGAAUGCUGGACUGUUCAUGUAAAGAGUGACCGAGGCAGCAUGUCACAUGUUACUGUCUGUAUCCAUAAGCAAUUUUUCAACUGCUGUGAUUAAGUUGCUGGGUUAAUCUGGGCCAUUGAGCAGUCAUUUUCUUUUGUUUUCUUUAGUUUGUUCUGAAGCUUUCCCCAAUUCUGGCUGUCGCCACUAUGUUUUUUAGAUCAUCCACCAGAUUAAGUGCAGCUGAACUUCAAAGGAUUUGUGUUUUGUUAGUGUCUUAACUUGUUUCCUUGCUAAGUAAGCCUUUGGGGUUAUUCUGUUCUGUUGCUGCCUUCUUUGUACAUAUAGUUUUGCAUCACUUUGUCUUGUACUCUUCCUGGCAAGCUUAUAACAGUGACGACCUUUGUCCAUUUAGACAUAGCAAUGUGUGCUCUGCACCCGACAUGUGGAGAAGGCACGCUGUCAAAAAAAAGUGGAGAAGGCACGCAUGGUACCGCGUCCCAAACUGCUCGACAAAACCCUCUCCGCCCCCUCUCUCACGGGCUCACUCAUCAUUAGUUUUAAGUGUGAGACCGCCGCGUCCAUCGGCGGUGGAGGUGGCAGAGCUGUCGCUCACCCCUUCGCUCCGCUGCGGCCGAUGACCGCACCACCUGAGACCGCGGCCACUUGGAAAACAGCGGCUAUGAGGAGGCCCGGCCCUUGGCGGCGACCUGUCCCUCUGAAUGGCGGCAGCGUCGGCCCUUGGCGGCGACCUGUCCCUCUGAAUGGCGGCAGCGUUGGAUCUUUGCCUCGCGGGGCCCGCUCUCCCAUCUGCUCCGCGCUGCGAAGCCGCCGGCAUGGCGGCCCUUGCUCCGAGCAGCUGCCGCAGCGUCGUCGGCGUCAGGUGCGGUGGUGGGGGUUGUGGGGACCGCGGGGCGGGGGACUGCCGUGGUUUCCUAUUGUCGGUUCUGACGACGUCAAGCCGUAGAUCUGAGCUGNNNNNNNNNNNNNNNNNNNNNNNNNNNNNNNNNNNNNNNNNNNNNNNNNNNNNNNNNNNNNNNNNNNNNNNNNNNNNNNNNNNNNNNNNNNNNNNNNNNNNNNNNNNNNNNNNNNNNNNNNNNNNNNNNNNNNNNNNNNNNNNNNNNNNNNNNNNNNNNNNNNNNNNNNNNNNNNNNNNNNNNNNNNNNNNNNNNNNNNNNNNNNNNNNNNNNNNNNNNNNNNNNNNNNNNNNNNNNNNNNNNNNNNNNNNNNNNNNNNNNNNNNNNNNNNNNNNNNNNNNNNNNNNNNNNNNNNNNNNNNNNNNNNNNNNNNNNNNNNNNNNNNNNNNNNNNNNNNNNNNNNNNNNNNNNNNNNNNNNNNNNNNNNNNNNNNNNNNNNNNNNNNNNNNNNNNNNNNNNNNNNNNNNNNNNNNNNNNNNNNNNNNNNNNNNNNNNNNNNNNNNNNNNNNNNNNNCCCCACUCGCUGUGCCUUGCGAGUGUGUCCAUGUAUAAGGGAGGUGCUUGUUUGUUUUUCAUGUGCGAGUCUCGGCGUUUUGGUGAAGCUGUGCGAGGGUUUGGUCGGUUGCUGGUUCUACAUCCCACCUCUAUGGGCUCCGCCUCCAACCGACCAGUUGGUCCGUUGGGUGCUGAGAAAUCUUAGGGGGUAGGGAUGGACCCAGCGACGACACUGCCACAACCUUUGCAAAUACUCUAGCGACCAGCACUGUCAGUGGCGGAGCUUUACCAAUAAAUAUUGGAACCUCGUCAGCAUCAUCAUCUUGGUCGCUGUCUCAUUCCCCUUUGUACUCUUUGGUUCGCAGGAUUCUAGAAAUAUGGGAAUAUGAAAGUCACAGGAAUAUGUGAUAGGAUCCUCCAAAAUUCCUUUGAAUCAAAGAGGCCUCAAACUUGCUGGUGCUGGUGGUGGUGAUGCUGGUGCAAGCUCCUCUCUCUCUCUCUCUACUGCGAAGUUCCUGUGAACUUACUUGGAUCAAAGAGGCCCUAAGCUGUCACACUUCUUGUUUGUGAAUGGUGCAUGGCUUUAUGAUUAACCUCAGUUUCUGGUUGCUGAACUGUGUCGUGCUGAAUGGACUUUCCAUUUUGGCAAGUCUGCUGGAGUUGCUCUUAGCUGGCGCGGGGCUAUGAUGAUUGAUUAUGGCUGAUAUAAGCAUGCUCUUGAGCAAUCGAGGCACUUUUCGGGUAUUAAGUUGGAUACCCCCUUGUUUCUUUGAGCCGUUUUGAUCAUGCGCUUAUUUUAGUGUCUCUGUCCUUGGAUGGUCAUUUCUUAUGAGUGAUAACCAGGACAGUCUCACCAUUGUAAGAACAGAUUGAUCUGGUGAUGGAGACACUAGGGAAAGGGUCAUAUGAUCGAGCAAAGGCGAAUCUGAGCCCAUUCAAAUGCAGUUCUGGUCUCAAGCACAGUGUGCUAUGUUGUUGCUGUUCUGUAUUUGUAUUUAGCGCCUCUUUGGUUUGCAGGAAUUUAAGAACACAACAACAACAAAGCCUUUAGUCCCAAACAAGUUGGGGUAGGCUAGAGGUGAAACCCAUAAAGAUCUCGCAACUAACUCAUGGUUCUUGCACAUGGAUAGCAAGCUUCCACGCACCCUUGUCCAUGGCUAGUUCUCUGGUGAUACUCCAGUCCUUGAGAUCUCUCUUUAGGGAUUCCUGUCAUGUCAAGUUUGGUCUACCCUGACCUCUCUUGACAUUAUCAACACGCUUUAGCCGUUCGCUAUGCAUUGGCGCUUUUGGAGGCCUGCGCUGAAUAUUCCCAAACCAUAUCAGACGAUGUUGGACAAGCUUCAUUGAAGGAAAAAAAAAUGCAGGAUAUUGCAUUGUUAGGGUAUCUCCAACCCUGACCCCCAAAGUUCUGUCAGCAAAUGUCUGCGGACAUGUCCUGACGUGUCCGCGGACAGCCGGCUGGGCGGAGGGCAUUCUUGCUAGGGCGAUGAUGAUUGACCGUGGCUGAAAUAAGUGUGCCUUUGAGCAAUCAAGGCACCUGUGGGUUUCAAGUUGGAUCUUCCCUCUUGUCUCUAGAAUCCUUUUUGAUCCUGUGAUACUUAUUGUUCUGUCCUUGGACGGUCAUUCUUGUUGAGUGAUAACCAGGGCAGCUCCACUCUAUAAACAGAUUGAUCUGGUGAUAAGAGAUGACGGGGGUAGGUUAUAUGAUCGAGGAAAGGCGAAUCUGAGCCCACUGCAAUGAACCCUAAACCCUUUUUAUUUGUAUUUAAAGGUGUUGCUUAUUCUCAAGUGUUUAUAGCAGUCUCGUGCAAAGAUUUCUUCCCUCUCAUACCUUUAUUGCAUAUAAGUUGUUCUUGAUCUUUUAUUGUUUGUUGUUGCUCCUUAAUUUAAUCUAGUUAAGGGUAAGCUGCACUUUGCUAUACUUGAAAGACUCGCUCCCAGCAAGUUAUCAUUUGAAUGGCUUGUUUUAAUUCGUUGUGACACUAUUACUUCUAUUUUUCCGGAAGUUUCCCGAUGCAGCUAUUUGUUCUUACUCAAUCCGUUUCUAAAUAUAAGUCUUUUUAGAGAUUUCAAAUUUUCAAUACAAACUAAAUACUGAUGUAUAUAGACAUAUUUUAGAGUGUAAAUUCACUCAUUUUGCUCUCUAUGUAGUCCCUUAUUGACAUAUCUAAAAAGACUUAUAUUUACGACCGGAGGGAGCACAUGCUAAAAUUAUAAUGCUACAGAAUUUUUUCUAGUUUGUUUUUUUGAGAGAGAAUGCUGUAUUGUUCAUGUAAGGAGUGACCGAAGCAUGUCUCAUGUUGCUGUCUGUAUCUAUAAGCAAUUUUCCGACUGCUGUGAUUAAGUUGCUGGGAUAAUCCGAGCCAUCGAGUGGACAUUUCUCUGAAGCUUUCCCCAAUUCUGUCUGUCACCACUGCAUUUUUUGGAUCACGCACCAGACUAAAUGUAGUGAACUUCGAAGGAUGUGUGUUUUGGUAGCUUCUUAACUUGUUUCCUUGCUAAGUAAGCCUUCGGGGUUAUUCUGUUUUGUUGCUGCCUUCUUUAUACAUAUAGUUUUGGUCUUUUGCAUCACUUUGUCUUGCACUCUUCCGAGCAAGCUUAUAACAGUGAUGACUUUGUCCAUUUAGUCAUAGCAACUAUUUGAAUUAUCAAAAUUUGCUACCAUUUGGUUACCACCAGAUGUUUGUCUGUUGACAAAACAUGGUCCAGGAAGGCAUUUUGUCUGCUAUGUUUUUUGAAAUAGAAUUCUGAUUCAGGGCUAUGAUGAUUGACCAUUGCUGAUAUAAGCAUGCUCUCGAGCAAUCGAGUAAGCUUUGGGUAUAAGUUGGAUCCUCCCUUGUCUCUUGGAGCCGUUUCAACCACAACAAGAAUUAUGGAACGGAGGGAGUAUAUAUUUUCUGUGGCUCUGUCCUUGGAAGGUCAUUUUGAUCAGUGAUAACCAGGGCAGCUCCACAGUAUAAACGGGUUGAUCUGGUGGUAAGAGAUGAUGGGGGUAGGUUAUAUGAUCUGAGCCCCUCAAAUGCAAUUCUAGUGCUCCUUCAGCAUAAUGUGCUACGUUGUUUGUCUUUUCUUAUUUGUAUUUGAAGGUGUCGCUUUUUAUGCUCCUGUUUUUAUAGCUGUUCUGUGUAUAUAUUUCUUCCCUCGUACCUUUAUUGUGCAAGAUGUUCUUGCUCUUUUUUGUUUCGUUCUUGCAUCUAUCUGCACUAUAGUACGUGAAGUAUCAACCAAAAAAAAUUGGUCUUUGAUGCUACAUAUUCAGUUAAUUUUGUUCCCACUGUGCAACUUAAAUGUAUUGUCAUUGCCCCCAGCACAUUAUACUUUGUGGUUUGCACACAUGCAUGGCAAAAUACUCCAAAUCUGAUGUGGUGUAAUGAUGCUCUAUCAUGUAUUUUAAAAGCAUGCCUUGGGGCAAGCUUCUAUAUCACCACCCUUCUCCACAGAAGCAUGUUCAAAUCAUAAGCUAGUGUUGGUGGUGCUGUAAUUCGUAUGGUCAACCAGAUAAUCAGUGCAACAUGCUCGUCAUGUGUUUGGAUGCAACUGAGAGUGCAUAUGCACAUUAGAUACUGUGAAUAAAAGGUUGUGUGCUUGGCCAGUAAUUUUAAUAUGUGAGGCCUUCAUUGGCUAUGUAUAAUAUAAUGUUCUCUUGCCAUGUAUGUGUUGAGUGUUGGAUAACAAAAUGAUAAUGUUAAGUGAAAUUCUUCAAUAUCAAAUGAACUCUUUGUACAGAUUUUUUUAGUUCUAUUGGAUUUCCCAUAAUAGUUUGCAUACAGGUCUACCAUUGUGUCUCUUCAUGAAUGCGGUACUACUAAGCAAGCCUGAGAAGCCUUUGUAAUAGUUUGUGUAAUUGAGCAGUUUCUUUCUUUCAACUGCCAUAAUGUGUGCAAUUUCAUCUUGAUUCUAAAGUACAUGUUUCCUUUCUACUUGAAGUUAGAUGUAGGUCAGUAGGCAUCAGGAUGAUUGCAUAGCCCAAUAUUCUCCCUUGUUACAUAAUUUUGCAAGCUAUUGGUGACCACAAAUUAUUACGGGUUCUGUAUGCCAAACAAUGCUCUCUGUUUAAUGCAAAAUAUAUUGUUUGUAGGCACUAUUUGGUUUUGCUUGACAUUGAUUUUGGUGGUUUGCAUUUAAGUUAAAAUGCAGGCAGUGGUUGUUCUUUAUUGUUUGGUAAUUUAAUUUUUCUCUUCUGUUAGUUAUACUUGUUCUUUAUUGUUUGGGAUUUUGUUGCUUUCAGGAGAUAGCUUCUUCUCGCUUGCUUCUUCAGACUUGUAAUCCAUGAUCAUUUUGCUGCUUUCAGUAGGUAGCAUAUUCUUUAUUCUUUUGGGGUAAUUCUGUGUUGUUGCUGCCUUCUUUUUACAUAUAGUUUUGCAUCGCUUUGCUUUGCACUCUUCCUGGCAUGCUUAUAACAGAGACCUUUGUCCAUUAGACAUAGUAACUGUUCGAAUUAUCAAAAUUCGCUGCCAUUUGCUCACCACCAGAAGUUUAUCUGUUCACAAAACAUGGUCCAGGAAGGCAUUUUUUCUGCUAUGUUUUUUGAAAUAGAAUUCUGAUUUGGGGCAAUGAUGAUUGACCAUUGCUGAUAUAAGCAUGCUCUCGAGCAAUCGAGUAAGCUGUGCGUAUUCAGUUUGAUCCUCCCUCGUCUCGUGGAGCCAUUUCAACCAUGAUAAGAAUUAUGGAACGGAGGGAGUACUAAGAGUAACUCUAGCAGAUUUGCUAUAUUUUUGGUGGCUCUGUCCUUGGAAGGUCAUUUUGAUGAGUGAUAACCAGGGCAGCUCCACACUAUAAACGGGUUGAUCUGGUGAUAAGAGAUGAUUGGGGUAGGUUAUAUGAUCAAGCAAAGGCGAAUCUGAGGCCCCUCAAAUGCAAUUCUAGUGCUCUUUCAGCAUAAUGUGCUGCACUGUUUCUCUUUUUUUUAUCUGUAUUUGAAGGUGUCGCUUAUUUAUGCAAUUGUGUUUAUAGCUGUCCUGUGUAUGUAUUUCUUCCCUCUCAUACCUUUAUUGCGUAAGUUGUUCUUGCCCUUUUUUUUCAUCUGUCUGCACUAUAGUACAUCAAGUAUUAGGCAAGAAAAAUUUGUACUUUGAUGCUACAUAUUCAGUUAGUUUUGUUCCCACUGUUCAACUUAAAUGGAUUGUCGUGGCCCCCGGCACACUAUACUUUGUGGUUGCAUACAUGCACAGCAAAAUACUCCAAAUCUAAUGUGGUCUAAUGAUGCUCUAUCAUGUAUUUUAAUAAGCAUGCCUUAGAUCAAGCUUCUAUAUCACAGCCCUUCUCCACAGAAGCAAGUUCAAGUCGGUGGUGCUGUAAUUCGUAUGCUUGUCAUAUUCCUUUUGGAUGCAAUUGAGAGUGCAUAUGCACAUUAAAUGCUGUGAAUCAAAGCUUGCGUGCCUCGUCAGUAAUUUUGAUAUGUGAGCCCUCGAUUGGCUAUGUAUAAUAUGUUGUUCUCUCGCCAUGUAUGUGUUGAGUGUUGGUUAACAAAAUGAUAAUGUUCAGUGAAAAUUUUCAAUAUCAAACAAAUUUGUUGUACCGAGUUUGUUAGUUCUAUUGAAUUUCCCAUGAGAGUUUGUAUGCCGGUAUACCAUUGUGUCUCUUCAUGAAUGCGGUCCUGCUGAGCAAGCCUGAGAAGCCCUUGUACUAAUAGUUUGUGUAUUUGAGCAGUUUCGCCCUUUCAACUGCGAUGAUGUGUGCAAUUCCAUCUUGAUUCUAAAGUAGAGUUCCUUUCUACUUGAAGUUAAAUCGAGGUCAGUAGGCAUCAGGAGGAUUACAUAGCCCAAUAUCCUCCCUUGUCACAUAAUUUUGCAAGCAAUUGGUGACCACAAAUUAUUACGGGUUCUGUAUGCCAAACAAUGCUCUGUUUAAUGCAAAAUAUUUUUUUGUAUUGUAUUGUACUGCUAUUGCACAAGAUUUCUGGUUCCUCCUAACUAUGAGGCACUAUUUGGUUAUGCUUGACGGUAAUUUUGGCGCUUUAUUUCAACUAGAAUGCACGCAGGACAUGUUUGGUCAUUUGAUAUUUUUCUUCUCUCCUACGGCUACUUGUUCUUUAUUUGUUUCUAAUCAUUUUGCUGCUCUCAAGAGAUGCUUACCAUAUUCUCGCUUGGUUCAUCAGUGACCUCAUCCAUUUGGUUUGGUGUCAAAAGAGAAAGGGCCUCCCAACCAAGUUUCAUGUUCAUCUUAUUGGCUCUAGCUGUGAUCUUGUAGAUAUUGCUGCAUGUGGAACAUAUUUUAGCGUUUCCUAAGUUGGGUUCUAGAGUGGUUGCACUCUGUUAUACCAAGGUAGACUUGCUGGCUUGUUUUUAAAUGGUUGUCAUACCAGCAUUGUUUUCUCCCAGCAAAUUACCAGCUGCAGCAUUUUGUUCUUACAUGUGACAGAGAACCGAGGAUGUUGCAUGUUGCUGUCUGUAACCAUAAGCAAUUUUUUGGCUGCUGUGACUCUGAUUGAGUUGCUGGGUUUAGCUGAGCCACUGAGGUCUGAGGUGAUAUUUUGACUGCUGUUACUGUUGCCUCGAGUGCCAGUUUGGGCGUUCGACGCCUACGGUCUGUUCGAAGUGCUACGGUUUUGUUGUGUUACCCCGUGACAGGUUUCUUCAAUGUUAAGCAUCAUUUAGCAUGCUCUUGUUUUCUCAAACCGUUUGUCUCCAUCUCUUCGACCUGGUUUGAAUAAUUAUACACUUUUGGUUGUACGUGUGCAGGGCUGCAUGCAGGCUGGCUGGGAGUGUGUACGCUCUCGCACACCCGCGCCUUCUUAAAUCCCAGACCACAUCGGCAGUGACGCCGGCGAGCUGCAGGGAGUGACGGGCAGAAAUGGCGGCCUCCUCCCACUCCGCCGUCAUCUUGGUGCUGCUGUUCCUCCUCCUCGUCGUGGCGUUCGUGCCCGCACCGGCAGCAGCAGUGAGCCCCUCCAAGCGCCCCACCCAUCAGCCUCCCUCUUUCCCUGCCGGAAUCUCUACCCUGCGGCAGCUGGCUGCAAGCUCGAGCAGCGGGUACGCCACUGCGGCGAAGCCGUUCACGGCGCAGUACUUCCUGCAGGAGCUGGACCACUUCACCUUCACGCCCAACUCCUCCCGCGUCUUCUCCCAGAAGUACCUCCUCAACGACACCUUCUGGCGGCGGAAGCCCACCGUCGGGCCGCUGUUUGUGUACAUGGGCGGCGAGGCCAACAUUGAGUGGUUGGCCACCACCACCGGCUUCAUGUUCGACAUCGCGCCAGAGUUCGGGGCUCUCAUCGUCUUCAUCGAGGUAACCAUCUUUUGCCACAUCCUCCGCCAUGGCUGAUACUUUCAGCUAAUCAUCAUGUCAUCGGUGGCCACGCCUUGGUCCAAAUUUUGGUCGUGAUGCACACCAUCUUCUUUCUAAUUAAGCAUAUUAAUAAUAUAAUUAUUAAGAGGUAAACGGGCUAACAAAUGCAUCUAUAUAGACUGAGUAAUCUGUUCCCUUGAUUAUGCAUUAGAAUACAAUCUUAAUGAUCAAAAUCAAAAAGAAUAAUAAUAAUAAUAUAUGUGCAUCACAGCCACUCGUGAUGGAUCGGCGCUCCGGGUCGGGUGCAGUCCGAUUGAAACAAAGAGAGCAGUCCUGAUGACAUCACUGCCGAUGUCAGCACUCAGGCAAUUAAACAAAGAUUGACUGGAAUUUCACAUUCAAGAAUAUGACUCUAGAUCGAUUGAGACACAAACAAUUAUUUUCUGUUAGUUGGAUCAAGAGCAAAAGUUCCUGCAAAAAAAAAAGAGAAAGAGCAAAUGUAUCAACUAAAUAUUUUCCAUCCGUAGUCCACAAAGUUCAUAGAUGUAAAUGAUUCUAUACAAAGAGCAGAAUUCUGAUUAUAAAUAUCAGCUUAAAACUAAACUGUGGAAUAAAAAUGAACAUGGAGAAAAAAAAACAUGCAUGGGUAACUCUGAUGGUGACCCGGAAUGGCUGCGGCCCUCUGAACCCUGAUUUAUGGAACAGCACGGGAAACUCAAUGCAAAGAGUGCAACUAUGCCUGCAGAAGUUUGCAAACGAGAAGACUUGAAAGGCCGCAGCCUCCAUCAUCAUGCUCACCUGCUGGGAAAUAUGGAGGGAGAGAAAUGGCUGUAUUUUCAAGGGGAAAACUGCAUCAUCUGAAGAUAUUCUCAGACGGGUCACGCAAUCACUAGAACUCUGGAGCAUUGCUGGGCCAAAAAAUUUAGAGUGCCUUCUCGGGCCCCCUACUGGGAGAAUUUAGUCUCUUUCUUUCCUUCGGCCUUAGGGUAGGGUGUUGACAAAAACUCUGUAUUUCAUUUUAACUUCUCUCCUCUGCUAAAUCAAUGAAAUGCCAGCAGGUGCUGAAUCUUUCAAAAAAAGUUACUUAAAUGUGUGAACAUGGAGUAAACAAUAACAUGGGUAUGACAUAGUCCAGGUGGGUGUUCUUGAAUUGUUGUCAUGUGAAGUUCACGGUGGCGGGAAGUGAUGAUCAUGUGAAAGCACAAGGCACGUCCGACAAAGGGUAAUUAGAAUAAGUAGUCACUUCCAAAGUGUACAUGUGAAAUAUCAUACGAUGGAAACAUAAUUGUAUUGUGGCCGUAACAAAUCAUAUCAAAUACACUUCAUCUUGUUAAAAAUAUAGGGCGUUAACUAGCCCAAUUCAGGUUUUGAUAAGAAAUUAAGAUAAUAACAUGCCGACUAUGUUAUACUCCCUCCGCUCCUAAAUAUAAGUCUUUUUAGUCAUUUCAUAUGGACUAUAACAUACGGAUGUAUGUAGACAUAUUUUAAAGUGUAGAUUCACUCAUUUUGCUUCGUAUGUAGUCACUUGUUGGAAUCUCUAAAAAGACUUAUAUUUGGGAACGGAGGGAGUAGAAAGCAAACUAGUAUAAUUGGAUUUGUAAUAUACUCCCUCCGUAAAGAAAUAUAAGUGAUCUAAACGUUCUUAUAUUUCUUUACAGAGGGAGUAAAUCUCUUUUCUUCACUUAUCAUUUGAUUAUCUUUAUCUUAACUGCAAAUGAAAUAUUGAUUAUAUAGUUUAAAUUUGGAAAAUGUGUGCCUUGUGUUUGUUACGGAGGGACUAUGCAAUAAGUUAUUUUGGUCAUGCUAAAAACAUGAGUCAUACUUAAAUGGUCAAUGAGAGAGAGAGAGAGAGAGAGAGAGAGAGAGAGAGAGAGAGAGAGAGAGAGAGAGAGAGAGGGAGAGGGAGUCACGCAAUCACUAGAACUCUAGAGCAUUGCUGGGCCAAAAAGUUUAGAGUGCCUUCUUGGGCCCCCUACCGUGAGAAUUUAGUCUCUUUCUUUCCUUCGGCCUUAGGGCAGAGUGUUGACAAAAACUCUGUAUUUCAUUUUAAAUUCUUUCCUCUGCUAAAUCAAUGAAAUGCCAGCAGGUGCUGAAUCUUUCAAAAAAGUUACUUAAAUGUGUGAACAUGGAGUAAACAAUAACAUGGGUAUGACAUAGUCCAGGUGGGUGUUCUUGAAUUGUUGUCAUGUGAAAUUCACAGUGGCGGGAAGUGAUGAUCAUGUGAAAGCACAAGGCACGUCCAACAAAGGGUAAUUAGAAUAAGUAAUCACUUCCAAAGUGUACAUGUGAAAUAUCGUACGAUGGAAACAUAAUUGUAUUGUGGCCGUAACAAAUCAUAUCAAAUACACUUCAUCUUGUUAAAAAUAUAGGGCAUUAACUAGCCCAAUUCAGGUUUUGAUAAGAAAUUAAGAUAAUAACAUGCCGACUAUGUUAUACUCCCUCCGUUCCUAAAUAUAAGUCUUUUUAGACAUUUCAUAUGGACUAUAACAUACGGAUAUAUGUAGAGAUAUUUUAAAGUGUAGAUUCACUCAUUUUGCUUCGUAUGUAGUCACUUGUUGGAAUCUCUAAAAAGACUUAUAUUUGGGAACGGAGGGAGUAGAAAGCAAAGUAGUAUAAUUGGAUUUGUAAUAUACUCCCUCCGUAAAGAAAUAUAAGUGAUCUAAACGUUCUUAUACUUCUUUACAGAGGGAGUAAAUCUCUUUUCUUCACUUAUCAUUUGAUUAUCUUUAUCUUAACUGCAAAUGAAAUAUUGAUUAUAUAGUUUAAAUUUGGAAAAUGUGUGCCUUGUGUGUGUUACGGAGGGACUAUGCAAUAAGUUAUUUUGGUCAUGCUAAAAACAUGAGUCAUACUUACAUGGUUAAUGAGAGAGAGAGAGAGAGAGGGAGAGGGAGAGGGAGAGGGGGAGGGGGAGGGGGAGAGGGAGAGGGAGAGUGAAUUUGAGAUAUUGACAAAUUUUAUCUUUUGCGGUACAAUAAAUAUGAGUGUCGGUGAUGAGAUUGCAUAUCCACUCCUCUUACCCACGUGAUCUAGGCCUACUUUGUCAUCGAUAAUCAUAUUUCCAUACUUCGGCAAGUGAAAUAAGCAAAAGAACAUGGGCACAAUCUGAAAUAACAAAUUAAGUGACUGAGGGAGAUCGCAUUAGAAAAAUAUCAUGUCUAAAUACUUGAACGGCGCUAAAAAAAUACAAAUUAGUGCAAGCAACAUCGACACGAUCAAAUAUCAUGUGGUUUACCAUGUAAUAAGUCAUGUACACACAUUCGAUAAUAAGAAUUGACGGAUCGAUGAGCGUUUGGAUGACUAUUGGAAAUGAAAUAAGUGAUUUUUUUGUAUUUGUAUAGGUUAGAAAGAAAAGUUCAUGUCAAGUACUUAAAAGUCAUUUUAGUUGUGUUAAACAGUAGAAUUUAGUGCAACUAUGGAAAUCAGCAAAAGCUAAGUUAUGACGCAUAUACCAUGGACACAAUUAGAAAGACAAGGUAACGUUCAUGCCUACAAGGUAUGCAAGAGUUGGUAGCUAGAGAGAUAAUAUAGAUAAUGUUUUCACAAUUAUCGUUAAAUAUGAGCACAAUACAUUAGUAAUAGACUAAGGCGUGCAUGUGUGGAAGCAUGUCGAUGCAUGUCAUAUCCCUAAUUGAACCUAACUGCAAUAUCACUAACGACGAGAAAGGGGAGAAAAAAGGCCCAAUGAUAUUAUGUUUCGAUUAUUUCUUAUUUGAAGCUCCUCUUCAUCUAAUGUGGUGUUAAUUUUUGGUGUCUAAUUUCUCAAGGCCAAUGAACCAGAUUGAAAUAAGCAAACAUGCUAUUACCAAAACUUAACAACGGGCGACAAAUCUACCCAUGCAAAUGCAUGGGUCAUUCCGCUAGUUGGUACUUAAGCUUCAUUAAUGGUAUUAAAUACUACCAAUAUUCACUUGUUCAAGUUGCAACUUGUUUGAAAUUUGUGUGUGGGAGUGCAGCAUCGGUUCUACGGGGAGUCAAAGCCGUUCGGGAAUGACUCAUACAAGUCAACUGACAUGCUGGGCUACCUGACGUCCACACAGGCGCUCGCUGACUUUGCCAUCCUCAUCACCAGUCUCAAGCAGAACAUGUCCAUUGUUGAUGCCCCCGUCGUCGUCUUCGGCGGCUCUUACGGCGGCAGUAAGUCCAUCACUAACAUGUUUCCUUAUUAUGUCCGUUCAUGCAUUAGUAUGAAUCUCCUUCUUAAGUUUAUUAUUAUUUUUAGGAGUGGUUGUCGCCUCUUGACUCGUUUUGUUUUAAAGAAAUCACUUGGAUUGGGGUGGGGAGGGAGGAAGAUCCCCACAUGUAUAUUACCCAUAAUAAUUUAAGGGCAAGAAUUACAGGGUCACGACGAUGCGUGAAGAGAGGUAGUCCCGCCAAGACAAUGCAAUAACAUUACCAACUGGCUCCUUAAACUGCCGAGAUCAAAUAUUUGAAAUCCAAAAGAUGUUUAUAAUGGUAGCUACACACCAAGGAGGUCAUUGUUUCUGAAAACCUUGCUGUUACCGAAGUCCCAAAUCUUUCAAAGUAUAAACAACAAGAUUUCUACCCAGACGUCGUUAUCUAGGUGAGCUGGAGUAGGGGAGCACCAAAGAUCCUACACCACGUGGUAGGGAUGAUGCUGAGGUGACUCCAAAUCCGCAUGGAGCUCAGAGAGUUGAUGAAGAUGUGGUGGGCGUCCUAGGAAGCAAAUGUGCAUUGAGGGCAGGAGCCGGUGGAGGAGAUGUUUGUGGAAUAGAUUUCCUCUGGUAUCCAAACAUCCACGACAAAGAGUAGCUAGCCACCUUGAUCUUGUUGGGGUCUCAGAAGAGCCAUAUGAGAUCAGCGUGAUCAUAUCCCCAUACUCAUGAUUGAGAAGGUUGUAGACAACAUGGAGAGACAAGUCAUUAGAGUAACAAAGACAAAGCGGGCUAUUCUUUCGAAGCAACAUUGGCGAGACCAUUUCGUAGAUUCACAUGCAACCCGAGGUGACUCCAAAUCCGCAUGGAGCUCGGAGAGUUGAUGAAGAUGUGGUGGGUGUCCUAGGAAGCAAAUGUGCAUUGAGGGCACGAGCCAGUGGAGGAGAUGUUUGUGGAAUAGAUUUCCUUUGGUAUCCAGACAUCCACGACAAAGAGUAGCUAGCCGAAGACCUUGAUCUUGUUGGGGUCUCGGAAGAGCCAUAUCAGAUCAGCGUGAUCAUAUCCCCAUACUCAUGAUUGAGAAGGUUGUAGACAACACAAGGGAGAAGUCAUUAGACUAACAAAGACAAAGCGGGCAAUUCUUUCGAAGCAACAUUGGCGAGGCCAUUUCAUAGAUUCGCAUGCAACCCAUCUUGCAUGGUCCCAUAGACUAGGAUUUUGGUUCGAUUGAGUGGGUGUGAAGGCUGGGAAUGUGGUGACUAGGGGUUGCUGUAAGAGCCAGGUGUCAAGCCAAACAAAAGUGGUGGAGUUGUUGUUUCUCAAACAAAAGAGAGUUGUUGUAGUUGUGGUAGCUUUAUUUUUUUUGUGAAGAAGGGUCUAGAUAUAUUAUAAAAGUUCACCAAUAGUACAAAGCACUGCAGUCGUUGCCGUUGAACCCAUGAAUCGGCUGAAGCGCCUGACACCAUAUGUCGCUGCGAAGAGCGUGAGGGGAGAAACCCCAACCUCACCACUCCAAGGAGACGACAAUAAUCUACAUAGGAACUCUGUCGAAUCUGCCCUGAUGGCUAGGUUAGAUAGGAAGAAUGUUCGAUAGACGUGACCGAUGGUGUGAUCGGUAGCUUUGUGUAGAUCAAGAUGAGCUAAUAUACACUAAUGUUGUCAUGUGGAUAUUACAAAAUAAAACUAAUGAUGUCUUAUGGUCUAUGGCUUUGGCUGUUGGUUCUAGUGUUGGCUUCAUGGUUCAGGUUAAAGUAUCCCCAUGUCGCCAUGGGAGCCGUGGCGUCCUCUGCACCCAUCCUGCACUUCGAUGACAUCACCCCGUGGUCAAGCUUCCAUGACACCGUCUCACAGGACUUCAAGGUAAUUUUCUAUACCUAAAUAACUAGUCGUCACUACUCUCUCCUUCCAUCUAUAUAGGGCCUAAUGCGUUUUCCAAGGCUAAAUUUGACCAAAUAUUAGAGCAAUAAUAUGACAUGCACCCGCAAAUAAAAUAAAAUAAUAUAUGACAUGCAACUUACACAAAGCACAACCUUCAAUGAUAUAAUUUUCACAUUGUGCAUGUCAUGUACUAUUAAUCUUGUCAAUAGUCAAAGGCGGUCUUAAAAAACCGCAUUAGGCCCUAUAUAGAAGGAGGGAGUAACUAUUUUAAAAACAUGCAGCUAUGCUAUUGGUACCUCAUCAUCCUAAUAAGUUCUAGAAAUUAAUUGCAUGCAUGUGUCCUUCGCACCAAGUUUUGUUCCCCACAUUUAUGCGGACUUCUUUUUUGAAUUCCCUACUCGUAACUGAGUGCACGUAUGAUGCAAUCAAGAUAUACAAUAUUAUAAUUAAAAUACGCAUAUUGAUACAACAAAAUUUCAUGGAAAUAUAUUGCAACCAAUUCCUGCGGCAAUGUGCGGGGUUUCAUCUAGUAUAAUUAAUUACCACUCCGUAAUAACAAGAAAAAGAAAUAAGUUGGCCUAAUAAUUUCUGGAUAAAGGGCCCACUGUCACCGGUCAAAUUAUUGGUCUUCAGAAUGCACGGCAGGUCGACAUUAACUCGUACGUCCGUCUUCUGCAAACUGAUUGAUGAUGAUGAUGAUGACGCAUCCGUUGCUAAUAACCCUAAACCCAAACCCUAUAUUUAGGGCUUAGGGUUUAGGGUUUAGGUCUUGAUUAUGAGUUCGUCAUGGCUAUUCACUUGUUGAUUAGCUUGGUUGCGAUGCUCAACUGCAUCAAGGGACUAUUUUUUCAAACCAUGACUGCACGUGAACUAAAUAAAUACUACCGCUGUUCCUAAAUAUAAGUUAGGGUUUAGGGUUUAGUGAUGACGAUGACGCAUCCGUUGCUAAUAACGUAGGGACAGGAUAUAUAACAUGGAAAUGGAAUGAUGAGUAACUUGCUAGUGACAUCUUUGUCUGAUUGGUGCUUGAUUAGUCCUUCUCCCCAGAUCAAGUUUCCAUGAAAACCCAGGUGUUUAAUCAGCUGAUUGUAAUCCAACUAGUUUUGCAGUCCGAGAGCCUGAAUUGCUUCAGUGUCAUCAAGGCAGUCUGGGAUGUGCUAGAUAAAAGGGGAUCCAACGACACUGGGCUCUUGGAGCUCAGCAAAACCUUCAGGGCCUGCAAGUAAGCUUUGCCUAACACAAUUACUCAAUCUUUUCAUGAAGGGAGAUUUUUUUUUCUCCUUUAUAACUUAUUGAUAUAGAGAGAAAAACAAGAGAUUAAGACUACAAGUGUUCUUUUCUAUCCGUAAAGUGCAAGUAAAGUAAACAAAUAGUCAAACCUUGUAGCAAGAAAUACAUGGAAAAAAGGACUUGCAGCCCCAAAGAAGGUACAUUAAGUUCAAUGAUAAAUGGACGGACAUGUAAAUCUAAUUUUGCCAAGCUAACUGGAGUGGUGAACUAAUGAAGGAUUUCAUACUUUGAGCGAAUCGACAACAAUGACACCGGUUCAUGGCGUUGCUUUAUCCUUUGAAUCUUAGGACCGUGCAGUUCAUUUAUUCGCUGAGCAGCUGGCUACGGACAGCGUUCAUCCACACAGCCGUGAUGGACUAUCCAACCCCAGCAAAUUUCUUGACGAAUCUGCCUGCUUACCCAGUCAGGGAGGUUAGCCACUUUUAACCUAAUUUACAACUAUUAUUCUCGCCGUCAUUACAUCAAAUGAAUGAGAGUAACAUGAGUUUCAGAGUUACCAAACUGAGUCAUGCAAAAAGAGGAACUGUUAUUUUUACUCCUGCUUUGCAUGUAAUUCUCCUGACAUUUCUGCAGAUGUGCAAGAUCAUUGAUUCUUUUCCUGCGGGAGCCGACGUCAUCGACAAGGCUUUCGCUGCGGCGAGCAUGUACUACAAUUACACAGGCGACCAGAAAUGCUUCCAGGUGGAGGGUGGCGAUGAUGACCCUCAUGGCUUCAAAGGAUGGGGCUGGCAGGUACAAGCCUGACUCACAUACAUGAAGACUGAACUACUGAUAACACAUGAAGACUGAGAUGAUCAUAUAUGUGUUUUCUGAAACAAACUCUUGUGCAGGCCUGCACAGAGAUGGUCAUGCCGAUGACGGUGUCGAACGAGAGCAUGUUCCCACCAUCCAGCUUCAGUUACGAGAAGACGUCCGAGAACUGCCUCGCGGGCUACAAAGUUCUUCCGAGGAUGCACUGGAUCACUUCUGAAUAUGGUGGCCAUGUAAGUUUUUGUUCAGAUUUUUAGUGUUUGUAUACGACCGUCAGUAGCAGCAUUUCUUUGGGUGGCAUGUGCUCACCUGGUACUGCAUUGCACAACCCACUACAGAAAAUUGACAAGGUUCUCAAGAGGUUUGGGAGCAACAUCAUCUUCUCCAAUGGGAUGCGAGACCCGUGGAGUGGAGGCGGGUAGGAGUAAAAGAUUUCUCACCAUCUGAUCUAUUCAUGUUGAUAGUUUCUACCAUUUAGGUAGCAAUUUUACCAUAGUAAACAAUAGUAACAGUCUUCCUUCCGAACUGCUACCAGGGUACUCAAGAACAUAUCAUCCAGCAUCAUUGCUCUUGUCACGGAGAAAGGUAAACUUGAAGUUGUAGAAAAUAUGUAAGGUCAAAAGUAUUCUGAACUUACUUACGAGUGGCUACUUCUUGUGGCGAUGUUCAGGGGCCCAUCAUUUGGACCUCAGAUCUGCAACCAAGGAUGAUCCAGACUGGAUUGUAGAACAAAGGAGACAGGAAGUUGAGAUCAUACAUGGAUGGAUAGACCAGUAUAACAAGGACAUUGCACAGAUGUAGCAGUAAGGAGGCGCCAUUAAUUUUCACGGUCAUGGAAAAUAAAUGUGGCUACAUGGAAAAUGUAAGGACUUUGCUUCCUCCUACAGGGCAAUAAGCACAAAAACUUAAGAUAGUGCAUCAGUGCAACUUCAAAUUCAACAAGACACCAGAAAUUCUUGAACUUAAGCAGUCAUACACGGGUCAUGAAUGCAGAGGUUCUCUUUUUCUACUUCUAGAACUGUUGCGUUGAACACUGAAUUUAUGACCCCAUAAAAUAAGACCAGCUUAAAAGGUAAAGCUAUAUCGAUGGAAGCACCUAACCCUGCUUCUAACUUUUUUCUACAAUACGCAUAACAUUCGUAUCAUUGCAUUAGAAGAAGUGGCAAAGAUGCCGGGUACAACGCCUUUCGUUCAUUACAACGCCAAUCUCUAGGACUAGCAGCCACCCACCACGUACACCACCACACCCACUACAAAACAUGCCACACCUAGUCCAGCCUCAUGCUAAUGACAAUGAGACAAGCCAUAGAGCAUCAAGGCGUGUCACAACCAACGCCAAAGAUCUCUACAACAAAACCAAGACUCGAGGACAACACAGACCAACGCACCCCCACCCAUUGCGCCAUGAGAAAGUUGGCAAGUGGAAGGCAGGGUGUGAAUGGACCUAGAAGAGGCGUCGUUGAGAGAGCGUUGGCAAUGGUGUACAUUGCACCCUGGAGACCCACGCCUAGAGCAGUAGGCGACACUGAUUCAAGCCACACCCUCGUGACACCUCGAGCAACAAGGCGACCCCUUCAAGAAGGGAACGGCGUCAAGAUGCCGCCGCCGCCCUGCUUCUAACUGAACUACGGCAAUUUGCACAACUUCAUGGAUACAAUAUGCAACAUCAACAGUCAGUCAACACACAUGCAGAAACAUCUCUCUCAAAAUACAUGAAAGCAUCAUCUCGAGAGAAAUCCAACAUUGGUAAGAAGUUUGAUUUAUACACAUGACCAACUCAGCAGAUUCAUAUGCUAAGUCUGAAAAGUCUAGAGAUAGUGUCAAAUAACCAUAAAGACGGGUAUAUAGUUUUUUUUUCAAUUGUUGAGGGAGGCUCCCUGCGUGAAUAUGAUCUUUUUGUAUAAAUGAUCCGGCUUAUAAGGAAACAAAAUCAAAAACAUAAACAGAGCGACCUUUUUUAUUAGAAAAAAAAAUCUCGGAUCUGGAGCCGUCACUCUGACUUCCCCGCUCGCACGCCAGCCACAACUCCAGUGCGACUCGGUCGCCUUGUAGCCCUUGCUACAUCACAGGACCGCCCUUGCCAGGCUGGAAAAGAAUAUGUAUGUUUUGAUCUGGUUGAUCGAUUCUAUGCACUGUGCUCUAUGUUUAGGAGGACCCUAUUGCAAAGUGGAUGACAUGGAUUUGUAAGGCUAUAUAUAUGUAUGAGUACAUAUAUACAGAUACAUACAUGUGCCUACUUUCACAUGUAAAAUAUUAAUAGUUAUCUUCCAAUCACACAUUCUUACUUUGAGAUGUCUAAUAAUGAUAUUAGUGGAGCAAUGUCCUAUUACGACAACUAGAUUGAACUCCUUGGUCUUUCGGGGAACCGUCACUCCCCUCGUGUAACCUUAUAAAUAUUGUUCAUGACUUUACUAUUUGGACUGCUAGAUUUAGGAGUACUACUCAGAAGGUUGGUGUCAUGUCGUGGCGCCAAUAGCUCUCCUUGCACGCUAGCAUAAUUCUAUAAAGAGAAAAAAUCAUCAUAGGUCAGAAAAUUUGAGCCGGCUGACACUUAAGUACCACUACUUCAAAAUACCCGAACUACAGUCCAUAUACUUGCGCAGAGGGUUCACUUUGGUCCGUAUAUACGAAUUGAGCUACGUAUUCGCAGACUUGGCCGAGUCAGCCGUUGCCAGCUAUGCUUUGACCGCCACAUGUGCAGCACCUGGUCGGGGUGGGGUGGGGGGGCUUAAUACUAGUAGUUUGGGUUUUUUUGCAAAUGCGCCAACACCUAGCCAUUAAACGCCCCGCACCUGGUCGGACCGCACCCGGUCGCACCCUCCCGCACCCUCUUUGCUCCCUCCCGCACCUUCUCUUCUCCCGCACCCUCUCUGCUCGUCGUCGCUGCCGAGGUAGUGCGUUUGCUCGUCGGCGUCGACGACGGCUCCAUGAGCACGUCGUCGGACGCCGAGCCGCCGCCGUCCGCGCCGUUCGGGAGGGGCCUGCGUGACGUGCCUCUUGCUCCUUCGCGUCGUCGUGAUGAUGCCUCGCCGCUCCUGUACGGUACGUCGCCGUCGCCAGCAGCUCCGUUGAUCGAUCUAUGCAAUUUAGCUCCCGUAAAGAGUUCUUGGCCGCAUCAAUUGCGCGUACGAGCUAGGGUUUGGCCGUUCGUUCAACUCUCUGACGGAUUGGGUGUGGGGUGGUAGGGUUUUAGCAGUUUCUUGAAGAUCUUUGUGGCAGGCCAAAAAUAGGGCUGCGUCAUGGGGGGUUUGCAGUAGAUGGCCAUGUUUGCAGAGAUCUGGAGUGGUUAAGGUUCUUUCUCCCCCCAAUUUUUAUCGGUCCAGGGGUCUAGGGUUUAAGCAGUAAAGUUUGCUUUUAGUGUCAGAGUGUUAAUUGGACCAAAAAUUGUUGUAAUUUGCAAUUACAUUGUGUCAGAUUUACCAAAGAUGGUUGCUUUUCGACCUGUAAGAUCAUACAUUUGUUAAUUGGAGCCAUGAAUCUCUGUUUUUCUUUCUGAAAAAGUAAAAAAGUCUGAAUGUCUGAACUGUAGUCUGAAAUGUCUGAACCUCUCUGUAGUCUGAAAUGUCUGAACUUUUUCAACUUGAUUGUUUUGCAGGACCCUUAAGCAACCACUUCUCUGUUGAGGUCAUACAUGGUGGCUACUUUCUGUGUGCUGGCAAGCAUAGGGAUUAUCACAAAGGUCACUCCAUUUGGUAUGAUUACUGUGACAUAGAUAAUUGGACACCUAAUGUUGUUGCCAGUCUAGUGGAGGAAAUUGGAUAUGAGUUUGAGGGCAGGAUCAGGGCUUAUUGGUGUGUUCCUGGAUUGACAGUGUAUAAGAAUGGAUUAAGAGAGAUCAAGAUAGGGGACAACACUAUGACAGAAAACAUGAAGGAUUGUGUUCUAAAUGGCAACCACUUCCAACAGAUAGUUCUUGAUCAUGAUGAGAGCAUGAGAUCAUAUGUUUCUGUUGUUCAAGUCCACUCUGAUGAUGAGGAUCCUCCAAUUGUCAGGCUCAGUGGCAUUAGGCCAAAGAAGGAGAAUGCACACCAGCAGCAAGCAGAGCAGACACAACAUCAGCAAGAGGAGCAGGCUCAGCUCACCAUAGUGGAACAGGAGCAGGCUGAGCUCCCUCAAGUGGAACAGGAGCUGCCUCAGCAUGAUCAAGAGCAUGAGCAAGAUGAAGCAGAGUCAGAAAGUGUAGCAGAGUCAGAAAAAGAUGAUUUCAUACCAAGUCCACCCCAGCCUGGAACUACUUACCUUUCAUCUCAGUUUGGGUUUAGGGCAAGGAAAUCCUGUAGGUUUUUGAACAUGGAUGCAGCAGACACAGUUGGUUGUUCAGUAGUGCAGGAUUCAUAUGAAGAUUACAUUCCACAAAUUGUUGAUUCAGACAUUGAUCUGCAGGAUGAUGAUGACUUGUUUGACAAACAUGUUGAUUGUGAGAAGGGCAAAGGACCAACAGUCCAAGAAGAAGUUGAUGAUCCUACUGAAGAUGUGGAUAUUUGUCUGCCAUCCUCUGAUGAAGAUAAGGUGAAGCUGAAUUUCAAAAGUUUUAGAGAGGAAGACCUGACUAAACCACAAUUUCAAAUUGGCCAGACCUUUGGAUCUGUUGAGUUCCUGAGGAAAGCUAUCAAAGAGUACAGCUGUCAGGAGAGAGUUGACAUUAAAUGCCCUAGAAAUGAUAGGAAAAGACUGAAUGCCAUUUGUGAAGAUGGGUGCCCUUGGACCUUGUCUGCAUCAUUUGAUGGGAGAAUCAACUGCUUCAUGAUCAAGAAAUACAACCCAAAGCAUACAUGCAUAAAGAAAUGGUGUGUUGAGUCAUUCACUGCUCCUUUCAUGGCUGGAAAAUAUCUUGAUUCUUUCAGAGCAGAUGAAAACAUGAAUAUGAAAUUUUUUGCAAGGGUGGUUCAGAAAGAUUGGAACAUGACAGCAACAAGAAGCAAGCUUAGAAGGGCUAAGAGGUUAGUGAAGAAAGUUAUUGAAGGAGAUGAGUUGGAGUAGUACAAUAGCAUGUGGGAUUAUGCACAAGAAUUCAGAAGAUCAAACCCAGAGAGUUCUUUCUAUGUGGGUGUCAGUAAUGGCAUAUUUGCAAGUUGUUAUUUCUCUCUUGAUGCCUGCAAAAGGGGUUUCAUGCAAGCUUGUAGGCCUGUCAUUUGUUUGGAUGGAUGCCACCUGAAGACAAAGUAUGGAGGUGUUAUGCUGUGUGCUGUUGGCAUGGAUCCUAAUGACUGCAUUUACCCUAUAGCUUUUGCAGUUGUUGAGGUAGAGAACACUGACACAUGAAAAUGGUUUCUGUCAAAUCUAAAGAGUGACUUGGGAAUUGUAAACACAGACCCAUGGACUAUAAUGUCAGACAAGCAAAAGGGCCUGAUCAAGGGAGUGAGGCAGCACUUUCCUGAUGCAGAGCACAGACACUGUGUUAGGCAUAUAUGGUAGACUUUUCAGCAAACACACAAAGGAGAUGUUCUUAAAAACUAGUUAUGGAAGUGCGCAAGGAGCACAACACCUGAACCGUGGGCUGCAAGCAUGGAGGAAAUUAAGGUCAUAAGCCUAGAAGCAUACAAGUGGCUUGAGCAGCUACCACCCAACACUUGGGUUAGGGGUUUCCAAAGAGAAUUGGUCAAGUGUGAUAUCCUUCUGAACAACAAUUGUGAGGUUUCCAACAAAUAUAUUCUUGAGGCUAGGGAGAUGCAUCUCAGAUCAAUGAUUGACAAGAUCAAAACACAGCUCAUGGUCAGGUUCUACAACAAAAGAAAAGAGGCAGAGUCUUGGCCUGGCUCAAUAUGCCGAAAAAUUAGGAAAAGAAUUGAGAAGAACAUAGAGCUGUCAGCUACAUGCAUGGUUUCAGGGGCUGGUGAUGGCAUCUUUCAGGUUGACAACAGGAACAUGACAUACAUUGUUGACAUGAAGGAAUAAAGCUAUACAUGCAAAAGGUGGGGUCUUAGUGGAGUUCCAUGUCACCAUGCAAUUGCAUGCUGCAGACAUGAGAGGAUUGAUCCUGAGAGUUUGGUGCACUCCUGUUACAGUAUAGAAGCAUUCAAGCUAGCAUACAAACCCAUUAUCAAGCCUUGCAGAGAUAGGAGUGAGUGGCAGAAGAUGAAUGACUGUGAGAUCAAGCCACCUGUCUAUGAAAAAAAGUAGGGAUGCCUUCAAACAAGAGUAGGAGAAAGCAGCCUUAUGAGAUUGAAAAGAAAGAUGGAACCAAGGUGAUGAGCAGAUAUGGAAUCACAAUAACAUGUUCCUACUGCCAUGAAACAGGCCACAACAUCAAAGGAUGUAAUCAAAGAAAGGUUGGCAUUUUGCCAAAUCUAGCAGAGAGAACAACAAGAAGGGGUCCAAGGGCCAUUCCUGAUGAUGUGUCAGAUGAUGAAAUUGUUUUGGCACAAGAAGAUGAUGGCCAAGGUACACAGGAGGAGGUUUAGGUCACACAAGAGGAUGGUCAACUUACACAGGAGGAGGUCCAUGUUGAUGGCCAAGUUACACAUGAGGAGGCCCAUGUUGAUGGCCAUGAUACACAUGAGGAGGUCAUUGUCACACAAGAUGAUGAGGUCAUUGUCACACAAGAUGAUGGAGCAGAUACACCAGUUGUUGUUCAGGCAAAUUCUCCACUUUUGUCCCUUAAUUUUGACCUUUUUUGUCCAGUCAUUUUUGUUGUACUGAUGUUAUCAUGUGAUGUUUGUUUUGUACAGGUGCAAGACUUUGGAUUUACAAUGCUUCAUAGGAUGCAACAAACCAGACCUGUUCCUAGAGAAGAAACUGAAACCAUUUUGCCAGAUUCUUCAUUCAUCUCAAAUGCAGCCAGUUCUCACACUGCAGCACAGACAACAACAGCUACAAAUGAAGGCAACCUGACCAUGAAGUUGCUGAAGAUGAAGAGAGACAAAGAAAGACAGAUGGCAGCCAGGAGAGAUGCAACACUUGAGGCCAUGAAUGAGAUGGCAGAUAAGAAAGCAGAGGAGGCAGAAGCAAAAAGGCAAGAAAUUGCAAGGAGGAAAGCAGAGUCUUCACAAAGAAGAAGAAGAGUAGCACAAGAGAAGAAAGCUUUGGAAUCUGCAGCAAGGCAGGAAGCUGCAGCAGCAAGAAAAGCUGCAUUGCAAGAAGAGAAGGAGGCCAGAGCCCUUGAAGCAAUGGCAGCUAAAGCAGAGGCAGCACUGAAGAGAAAAGAAGAUCAAGAAGCAAAGAGAGCUAUGGCAGCACUGAGGAGAAAAGAAGAUCAAGAAGCAAGGAAGAAACAGCAAGAAGAGGCCAAAAGAUUAAGAGCUGAGCAGAGGAAGCAGGUAGGACCAAGUGGACAUGUUCCCAAGAAGCUGAAGAGAGUGAACAUGUUUGAUGAGUUUAGAUGAUUCAGUGCUUUUGCACUUGUAUUUUUUUGGCAAAAAACUUCAAUGAGACUCUUUGAAACUGUUGGAGUUGGGAUGAUUCAGUGCUUUUGCACUUGUAAUAUUUUGGCAAAAACUACAAUGAGACUCUUUGAACUGUUGGAAAUGUGAAGAUUCAGUGCAGUUGCACUUGUACUCAUUCAGUGGCUUCAUACUGCCAUUCAAAAUGAAAACUGUUGGAGUUCAAAAUGAAAACCGUUGGAGUUCGGUGGCUUUAUUCAGUUAAUUUAAUUUGAAAACUGCAUCAAAAUUAGUUGGAGUUCAUUGCUUUAUUCACUGUUGGAGAAUAGAUAAUUAACUGUGUAAAAUUAAAAAAAUUAAAACAAAAAAGGUUGGCCUGGGUGUCGAACCCAAGACAUGUGGUGUGAUAAACUGUGUGCAAUGCCAGUGUGAUAGGAACGAUGCUUUGCUUAAGUGUUACUUGACAACCUACUUAUUAUUCUUCCACUCCCCUCCAACCUACUUAACUGAAUUUUUAUAGUUCACUGAAUUCAAAGUUAACUGAUUUUUUAUAGUUGUCUGAAUGUAGUUUGCAAAGAUAUCUGAAUUUAGUUUGAAAAGCUAACUGAUUUUUUUACAGUUAACUAAAUCUUAACAGUUGUCUGAAUUUAGUUAAGAGAGAAUUCAGUUAAGACAAAGAUUCAGACAAAAAUUCAGUUAAGAUUCAAAACCUUAGCAGCUACUUCUUUUGGAAUUAUUGCCUUAUAUAGCAACAAUACAAUUUUGGAUUGUUGCCUUAUAUAGCAACAAGACUGCAUCAACACCAUUAUAUACCAACAAAACACUUUUGGAUUACUGCCACUUAUAUAGCAUCAACACAUUUCAACACAUAUAUAUAGCAUGAGAUCUCAUAUAGCAUCACAGCUAGUUCAACACUUAUAUAGCCAGUUCAACAGACAGAAAUUACAAAUAACUUAUGUGCUUAAUAUACAAGCACACCUAACAUACUGCUAUUUAUAACUUAUAUGCUGAAAAUCUGGAUAUUUCAGCAUACCUAACUACAUCUUCUUCAUGCCUGCUACUGCAUCUUCUUCAUCUUCAGUUCUUCAUCUUUUGGAGGCGCUCCAAGCGGUGAACCUCCAUGUUAGCUGCCACCUUCCUCUUCUUCUUCCUCUCUGGCUACGCUGUGACAUCCUGUGCUUGCAGGGCCAAGACCACCUCCACCUCCUACUUGAUGAUGUCAGGAACAUCGGGAAGCAGCUCGAUGUCAAUGGGGCGGUGCUUGUCACCCUCCCUGGCGACCGGCGCCACCAUCGGGACCUACGGGCGCUGCCACAUUGACCUCCGGCUCGUCGUCAAAGAGCACAAUCACCUCCGGCUCCUCCCAGCCAGUCGACCAGGACGAGUCGGCGGCGUAGCCAGAGUCAUCGUCGGAUCCGGAGUCGUACUCUGAGUCAAAUGAGAUGUACUCAGAGACGUCGUUGCGCCUGAGGUAGUCGGGCUGGUAGUGGUCCCAGUAGGCAGUGUUGAUAGGUGCGGGGACGGCCAGGUCGACGUUGUCGACGCGCUCCGUUCGCGAGCCAACGCGCAACGGAUCCGGCUGCCGUGGCACAGUGGCGGACCGGUACAUCCACCACCGGGCUCGCUGCCCUGGGUCGUCGGAGCGCGUCUCCUACAUCACGAAGCGGAGGACGAGUGCAUAGUGGAUACCGUUGUGGUCGGGGCAGGCGCGGUCCAGCUCGUCGUCGGUCAUGACCUUCAACAGGCCACGCACGUGGUGACGCAGCAUCGCACAGCUGGGGAACCACUUCCCGAUCUCCGCCAGGUAUGCGCGCAAGGCCUUGUCGUCGCCUGCGAGGUCAUCGAUGACCCUCUUCCAGGCAGGGCAGUUCUCCAUGUCCACGGCGGCGGCGUGGUGGUCGGCGGCGAGGGUUUUCUUGACAGCUGCGUGGGGGUUUGGUGCGGGGUAACCGAGGCGACGCGGUGGACUAAGUGGAGAGUGGAGCGGUGGGUGGGUGGGCUUAAAGAGCAUACAAGGAAACGGAAGAGGCGUGAGCCAUUGGGCCACUAGCAACUGCUAAAUAGCUAGGUUAGUACCUGCCCUUGAUCAAAGCACUAGUACUUACCACACAAGCAUUGCCACCAACAUUCAAUACCACAGGUCCUAGGUUCGAGACCUAGGCAAAACUCUUUUUGUGUAAUUUUUUUCUUUAAGAAAAAUUUGGUACAGGCAUACAAAUCCAGUCAUAUAAAACAGCUACUGCAGACAUAUAAAUUCAGGCAAAUUCACUCAUAUAAAACAGCAACUGCAUGCAUAUAAAUUCAGGCAAAUUCAGUCAUAUAAGACAGAGACAGUUAACUUCAUUUUCUUAUCUGAACCAACUUCAAUUUCUUAUCUUAACCCACUUCAAUUUCUUAUCUUAACCCAAUUUAGUUAACAUUUGGCAAAAGUACAACUGACACAAAUCCAGGAGGAAAGAUACAAAGUGAUUUUUCUUACAAUGACACAGAUUCAAUCAAAUUCAUUCAGCAUGCCCUUCAGCUUCCUUAUCUUCUCCUUGGUGGGCCUCUUUGUGUUUGAAUAGGUCACCAAUCAUGUACUCAACCUUCCUUUUCUCAUGCUUCAAGUCAUCCCUCUCUUGAAUCACUUGGUCCCUCUCCUGCACUGCUUGGUCCCUCUCUUUCUCUACUUUAACCCUGAAUACCUGAUGAAUGUUGGUUACUGACUUGUCUGUCAUCUUCUUCUUCUCAAUUUCUUCCUUUAGAUCAGUCAGAGCAAGUUGUGUGCUGCCUAGUUGGCUCAUUGUCUGCUCCUUCUCAGCCACCAUCUUAGCAAAAUCAAGCUUGAAAUGCCUCAACUCAUUCUCCAUCUUCUUCUUCUCUUCAAGAACCUUCAAGUUUUCUUCAGCACUCACAACAUUCUGUCUGAGCCUCUAUUUUUUCUCCUCUUCAUACAUGGUCCAUAUACUAGCUAGGCUCAUCUUCAGAGCAUCAGGCCACUCAGGGUCAACCCACUCAACAUAUCUGCAUUUAGGUACCUCCUAACAAUUUAGAACAUACAAAAAAAAGAUUCAGUUAACUGCCAGUAUUCAGUACUAUGCAUGAUGAUGGUGUUGGGUAACGUAGUAAUUUCAAAAAAAUUCCUACGCACACGCAAGAUCAUGGUGAUGCAUAGCAACAAGAGGGGAGAGUGUUGUCUAUGUACCCUCGUAGACCGAAGCGGAAGCGUUGAUGCAAUGUAGAGGAAGUAGUCGUACGUCUUCCCGGUCCAACCGAUCCAAGCACCGUUACUCCGGCACCUCCGAGUUCUUGACACACGUACAGCUCGAUGACACACCCCGGGCUCCGAUCUAGCAAAGCUUCGGGGAGGAGUUUCGUCAGCACAACGGCGUGGUGACGAUCUUGAUGUUUAACAGUCGCAGGGCUUCGCUUAAGCACCGCUACAAUAUGAUUGAGGUGUAAUAUCGUGGAGGGGGGCACCGCACACGGCUAAGGAAUGAUCACGAAGAUCAACUUGUGUGUCCUAGGGUGCCCCCUUGCCCCCGUAUAUAAAGGAGCCAAGGGGGGUGCGGCCGGCCCUAGUAGGAGGCGCGCAGGAGGAGUCCUACUCCUACCGGGAGUAGGACUCCCCUCCCUUUCCUUGUCCAAGUAGGAGAGGAGGAAGGAAGGGAGAGAGGAGAGGAAGGAAAGGGGGGGCCCCGCCCCUCCCUCCUUGUCCAAUUCGGACUAGGGGGAGAGGGGGCGCGCGGCCUGCCCUGGCUGCCUUUCCUCUUCUCCACUUUAGGCCCAUGAGGCCCAUUAACCCCCCGGGGGGUUCCGGUAACCCCCCGGUUCUCCGGUUUUAUCCGAAACUUCCCCGGACCACUUCCGGUGUCCGAAUAUAGCCGUCCAAUAUAUCAAUCUUUAUGUCUCGACCAUUUCGAGACUCCUCGUUAUGUCCGUGAUCAUAUCCGGGACUCCGAACAACCUUCGGUACAUCAAAAUACAUAAACUCAUAAUAAAACUGUCAUCGUAACUUUAAGCGUGCGGACCCUACGGUUCGAGAACAAUGUAGACAUGACCGAGACACGUCUCCGGUCAAUAACCAACAGCGGGACCUGGAUGCCCAUAUUGGCUCCUACAUAUUCUACGAAGAUCUUUAUCGGUCAGACCGCAUAACAACAUACGUUGUUCCCUUUGUCAUCGGUAUGUUACUUGCCCGAGAUUCGAUCGUCGGUAUCCAAUACCUAGUUCAAUCUCGUUAUCGGCAAGUCUCUUUACUCGUUCCGUAAUACAUCAUCCCGCAACUAACUCAUUGGUUGCAAUGCUUGCAAGGCUUAAGUGAUGUGCAUUACCGAGAGGGCCCAGAGAUACCUCUCCGACAAUCGGAGUUACAAAUCCUAAUCUCGAAAUACGUCAACCCAACAUGUACCUUUGGAGACACCUGUAGAGCACCUUUAUAAUCACCCAGUUAUGUUGUGACGUUUGGUAGCACACAAAGUGUUCCCCCGGCACACGGGAGUUACAUAAUCUCAUAGUCAUAGGAACAUGUAUAAGUCAUGAAGAAAGCAACAUACUAAACGAUCGGGUGCUAAGCUAAUGGAAUGGGUGAUGUCAAUCAGAUCAUUCAACUAAUGAUGUGAUCCCGUUAAUCAAAUAACAACUCUUUGUCCAUGGUUAGGAAACAUAACCAUCUUUGAUUAACGAGCUAGUCAAGUAGAGGCAUACUAGUGACACUCUGUUUGUCUAUGUAUUCACACAUGUAUAAUGUUUCCGGUUAAUACAAUUCUAGCAUGAAUAAUAAACAUUUAUCAUGAAAUAAGGAAAUAAAUAAUAACUUUAUUAUUGCCUCUAGGGCAUAUUUCCUUCAGUCUCCCACUUGCACUAGAGUCAAUAAUCUAGAUCACAUCACCAUGUGAUUAACAUCGAUAGUUCACAUCAUCAUGUGAUUAACACCCAUAGUUCACAUCGCCAUGUGACCAACACCCAAAGGGUUUACUAGAUUCAGUAAUCUAGUUCACAUCGCUUAUGUGAUUAACACCCAAAAAGUACUAAGGUGUGAUCAUGUUUUGCUUGUGAGAGAAGUUUAGUCAACGGGUCUGCCAUAUUCAGAUCCUUAUGUAUUUUGCAAAUUUCUAUGUCAACAAUGCUCUGCACGGAGCCACUUUUAGCUAAUUGCUCCCACUUUCAAUAUGUAUCCAGAUUGAGACUUAGAGUCAUCUAGAUCAGUGUCAAAAUUUGCAUCGACGUAACCCUUUACGACGAACCCUUUUUGUCACGUCCAUAAUUGAGAAACAUAUCCUUAUUCUACUAAGGAUAAUUUUGACCGAUGUCCAGUGAUCUACUCCUAGAUCACUAUUGUACUCCCUUGCCAAAAUCACUGUAGGGUAUACAAUAGAUCUGGUACACAGCAUGGCAUACUUUAUAGAACCUAUGGCCAAGGCAUAGGGAAUGACUUUCAUUCUCUUUCUAUCUUCUGUCGUGGUCGUGUUUUGAGUCUUACUCAAUUUCACACCUUGUAACACAGGCAAGAACUCUUUAUUUGACUGUUCCAUUUUGAACUACUUCAAAAUCUUGUCAAGGUAUGUACUCAUUGAAAAAACUUAUCAAGCGUUUUGAUCUAUCUCUAUAGAUCUUGAUGCUCAAUAUGUAAGUAGCUUCACCGAGGUCUUUCUUUGAAAAACUCCUUUCAAAUACUCCUUUAUGCUUUGCAGAAUAAUUCUACAUUAUUUCCGAUCAACAAUAUGUCAUUCACAUAUACUUAUCAGAAAUGUUGUAGUGCUCCCACUCACUUUCUUGUAAAUACAGGCUUCACCGCAAGUCUGUAUAAAACUAUAUGCUUUGACCAACUUAUCAAAGCGUGUAUUCCAACUCCGAGAUGCUUGCACCAGUCCAUAGAUGAAUCGCUGGAGCUUGCAUAUUUUGUUAGCACCUUUAGGAUUGACAAAACCUUCUGGUUGCAUCAUAUACAACUCUUCUUUAAUAAAUCUAUUAAGGAAUGCAGUUUUGUUUAUCCAUUUGCCAGAUUUCAUAAAAUGCGGCAAUUGCUAACAUGAUUCAGACAGACUUAAGCAUCACUACGAGUGAGAAAAUCUCAUCGUAGUCAACACCUUGAACUUGUCGAAAACCUUUUUGCGACAAUUCUACCUUUGUAGAUAGUAACACUACUAUCAGCGUCUGUCUUCCUCUUGAAGAUCCAUUUAUUUUCUAUGGCUUGCCGAUCAUCGGGCAAGUCAACCAAAGUCUACACUUUGUUCUCAUACAUGGAUCCCAUCUCAGAUUUCAUGGCCUCAAGCCAUUUUGCGGAAUCUGGGCUCAUCAUCGCUUCCUCAUAGUUCGCAAGUUCGUCAUGGUCUAGUAACAUGACUUCCAGAACAGGAUUACCGUACCACUCUGGUGCGGAUCUCACUCUGGUUUACCUACGAGAUUCGGUAGUAUCUUGUUCUGAAGUUUCAUGAUCAUUAUCAUUAGCUUCCUCACUAAUUGGUGUAGGUGUCGCAGAAAUAGUUUUCUGUGAUGUACUACUUUCAAAUAAGGGAGCAGGUACAGUUACCUCGUCAAGUUAUACUUUCCUCCCACUCACUUCUUUCGAGAGAAACUCCUUCUCUAGAAAGUAUCCAUUCUAAGCAACGAAUGUCUUGCCUUUGGAUCUGUGAUAGAAGGUGUACCCAAAUGUCUCCUUUGGGUAUCCUAUGAAGACAUAUUUCUUCGAUUUUGAGUUUGAGCUUAUCGAGAUGAAACUUUUUCACAUAAGCAUCGCAACUCCAAACUUUAAGAAAUGACAGCUUAGGUUUCUUGCCAAACCAUAGUUCACACGGUGUUGUCUCAGCGGAUUUAGAUGGUGCCCUAUUUAACGUGAAUGCAGCUGUCUCUAAUGCAUAACCCCAAAACGAUAGUGGUAGAUCGGUAAGAGACAUCAUAGAUCGCACUAUAUCUAAUAAAGUACGGUUAUGACGUUCGGACACACCAUUACACUAUGGUGUUCCAGGUGGCGUGAGUAGUGAAACUAUUUCACAUUGUUUUAGUUGAAGGCCAAACUCGUAACUCAAAUAUUUUACCUCUGUGAUCAUAUCGUAGAAACUUUUAUUUUCUUGUCACGAUGAUUUUCCACUUCACUCUGAAAUUCUUUGAACAGUUCAAAUGUUUUAGACUUAUGGUUCAUCAAGUAGAUAUCCCAUAUCUGCUCAAAUCAUCUGUGAAGGUCAGAAAAUAAUGAUACCUGCUGCAAGCCUUAAUAUUCAUCGGACCAUAUACAUCAGUAUGUAUGAUUUCCAACAAAUCUGUUGCUUGCUUCAUUGUUCCGGAGAACAGCGUUUUAGUCAUCUUGCCCACAAGGCAUGGUUCGCAAGCAUCAAGUGAUUCAUAAUCAAGUGAUCCCAAAAGCCCAUCAGCAUGGAGUUUCUUCAUGCGCUUUACACCAAUAUGACUUAAACGGCAGUGCCACAAAUAAGUUGCACUAUCAUUAUUAACUUUGCAUCUUUUGGUUUCAAUAUUAUGAAUAUGUGUAUCACUACGAUCGAGAUCCAACGAACUUAUUUCAUUGGGUGUAUGACCAUCGAAGGUUUUAUUCAUGUAAACAGAACAACAAUUAUUCUCUGACUUUAAUGAAUAACCGUAUUGCAAUAAACAUGACCAAAUCAUAUUCAUGCUCAACGCAAAAACCACAUAACACUUAUUCAGGUUCAACACUAAUCCCGAAAGUAUAGGGGAGUGUGCGAUGAUGAUCAUAUCAAUCUUGGAACUACUUCCAACACACAUCGUCACUUCACCCUUAACUAGUCUCUGUUUAUUCUGCAACUCCCGUUUCGAGUUACUACUCUUAGCAACUGAUCCAGUAUCAAAUACUGAGGGGUUGCUAUAAACAUGGGUAAAGUACACAUCAAUAACAUGUAUAUCAAAUAUACUUUUGUUCACUUUGCCAUCCUUCUUAUCCGCCAAAUACUUGGGGCAGUUCUGCUUCCAGUGACCAGUCCCUUUGCAGUAGAAGCACUUAGUCUCAGGCUUAGGACCAGACUUGGGCUUCUUCACUUGAGCAGCAACUUGUUUGCUGUUCUUCUUGAAGUUCCCCUUCUUCCCUUUGCCCUUUUCUUAAAACUAGUGGUUUUGUUAACCAUCAACACUUGAUGUUUUUCUUGAUUUCUACCUUCGUCGAUUUCAGUAUCACGAAGAGCUUGGGAAUUGUUUCCGUUAUCCCUUGCAUAUUAUAGUUCAUCACGAAGUUCUACUAACUUGGUGAUGGUGACUAGAGAAUUCUGUCAUUCACUAUUUUAUCUGGAAGAUUAACUCCCAUUUGAUUCAAGUGAUUGUAGUACCCAGACAAUCUGAGCACAUGCUCACUAGUUGAGCGAUUCUCCUCCAUCUUUUAGCUAUAGAACUUGUUGGAGGCUUCAUAUCUCUCAACUCGGGUAUUUGCUUGAAAUAUUAACUUCAACUCCUGGAACAUCUCAUAUGCUCCAUGACGUUCAAAACGUCUUUGAAAUCCCGAUUCUAAGCCAUUAAGCAUGGUGCACUAAACUAUCAAGUAGUCAUCAUAUUGAGCUAGCCAAACGUUCAUAACGUCAGCAUCUGCUCCUGCAAUAGGUCUGUCACCUAGCGGUGCAUCAAGGACAUAAUUCUUUUGUGCAACAAUGAGGAUAAACCUCAAAUCACAGAUCCAAUCCGCAUCAUUGCUACUAACAUCUUUCAACACAAUUUUCUCUAGGAACAUAUCAAAAUAAACAUAGGGAAGCAACAACGCGAGUUAUUGAUCUACAGCAUAGAUAGGCUAAUACUACCAGGACUAAGUUCAUGAUAAAUUAAAGUUCAAUUAAUCAUAUUACUUAAGAACUCCCACUUAGAUAGACAUCCCUCUAAUCCUCUAAGUGAUCACGUGAUCCAAAUCAACUAAACCAUAACCGAUCAUCACGUAAAAUGGAGUAGCUUUCAAUGGUGAACAUCACUAUGUUGAUCAUAUCUACUAUAUGAUUCACGCUCGACCGUUCGGUCUCCGUGUUCCGAGGCCAUAUCUACAUAUGCUAGGCUCGUCAAGUUUAACCUGAGUAUUCUGCGUGUGCAAAACUGGCUUGCACCCGUUGUAGAUGGACGUAGAGCUUAUCACACCCGAUCAUCACGUGGUGUCUGGGCACGACGAACUUUGACAAUGGUGCAUACUCAGGGAGAACACUUCUUGAUAAUUAGUGAGAGAUCAUCUUAAAAUGCUACCGUCAAUCAAAGCAAGAUAAGAUGCAUAAAAGAUAAACAUCACAUGCAAUCAAUAUAAGUGAUAUGAUAUGGCCAUCAUCAUCUUGUGCCUGUGAUCUCCAUCUCCGAAGCACCGUCAUGAUCACCAUCGUCACCGGCGCGACACCUUGAUCUCCAUCAUAGCAUCGUUGUCGUCUCGCCAAUCUUAUGCUUCCACGACUAUCUCUACCGUUUAGUGAUAAAGUAAAGCAUUACAGCGCGAUUGCAUUGCAUACAAUAAAGCGACAACCAUAUGGCUCCUGCCAGUUGUCGAUAACUCGGUUACAAAACAUGAUCAUCUCAUACAAUAAAAUUUAGCAUCAUGUCUUGACCAUAUCACAUCACAACAUGCCCUGCAAAAACAAGUUAGACGUCCUCUACUUUGUUGUUGCAAGUUUUACGUGGCUGCUACGGGCUUAAGCAAGAACCAAUCUUACCUACGCAUCAAAACCACAACGAUAGUUUGUCAAGUUGGUGCUGUUUUAACCUUCGCAAGGACCGGGCGUAGCCACACUCGGUUCAACUAAAGUUGGAGAAACUGACACCCGCUAGUCACCUGUGUGCAUAGCACGACGGUAAAACCAGUCUCGCUUAAGCGUACGCGUAAUGUCGGUCCGGGCCGCUUCAUCCAACAAUACCGCCGAACCAAAGUAUGACAUGCUGGUAAGCAGUAUGACUUAUAUCGCCCACAACUCACUUGUGUUCUACUCGUGCAUAAAACAUCAACACAUAAAACCUAGGCUCGGAUGCCACUAUUGGGUAACGUAGUAAUUUCAAAAAAAUUCCUACGCACACGCAAGAUCAUGGUGAUGCAUAGCAACGAGAGGGGAGAGUGUUGUCUACGUACCCUCGUAGACCGAAGCGGAAGCGUUGAUGCAAUGUAGAGGAAGUAGUCGUACGUCUUCCCGGUCCAACCGAUCCAAGCACCGUUACUCCGGCACCUCUGAGUUCUUGACACACGUACAGCUCGAUGACGCACCCCGGGCUCCGAUCCAGCAAAGCUUCGGGGAGGAGUUUCGUCAGCACGACAGCGUGGUGACGAUCUUGAUGUUUAACCGUCGCAGGGCUUCGCUUAAGCACCACUACAAUAUGAUCGAGGUGUAAUAUCAUGGAGGGGGGCACCGCACACGGCUAAGGAACGAUCACGAAGACCAACUUGUGUGUCCUAGGGUGCCCCCUUGCCCCCGUAUAUAAAGGAGCCAAGGGGGAUGCGGCCGGCCCUAGUAGGAGGCGCGCAGGAGGAGUCCUACUCCUACCGGGAGUAGGACUCCCCUCCCUUUCCUUGUCCAAGUAGGAGAGGGGGGAGGAAGGGAGAGAGGAGAGGAAGGAAAGGGGGGGCGCCGCCCCUCCCUCCUUGUCCAAUUCGGACUAGGGGGAGAGGGGGGGCGCGGCCUGCCCUGGCUGCCUUUCCUCUUCUCCACUUUAGGCCCAUGAGGCCCAUUAACCCCCCGGGGGGGUUCCGGUAACCCCCCGGUUCUCCGGUUUUAUCCGAAACUUCCCCGGAACACUUCCGGUGUCCGAAUAUAGCCGUCCAAUAUAUCAAUCUUUAUGUCUCGACCAUUUCGAGACUCCUCGUUAUGUCCGUGAUCAUAUCCGGGACUCCGAACAACCUUCGGUACAUCAAAAUACAUAAACUCAUAAUGAAACUGUCAUCGUAACUUUAAGCGUGCGGACCCUACGGUUCGAGAACAAUGUAGACAUGACCGAGACACGUCUCCGGUCAAUAACCAACAGCGGGACCUGGAUGCCCAUAUUGGCUCCUACAUAUUCUAUGAAGAUCUUUAUCGGUCAGACCGCAUAACAACAUACGUUGUUCCCUUUGUCAUCGGUAUGUUACUUGCCCGAGAUUCGAUCGUCGGUAUCCAAUACCUAGUUCAAUCUCGUUACCGGCAAGUCUCUUUACUCGUUCCGUAAUACAUCAUCCCGCAACUAACUCAUUGGUUGCAAUGCUUGCAAGGCUUAAGUGAUGUGCAUUACCGAGAGGGCCCAGAGAUACCUCUCCGACGAUCGGAGUGACAAAUCCUAAUCUUGAAAUACGUCAACCCAACAUGUACUUUUGGAGACACCUGUAGAGCACCUUUAUAAUCACCCAGUUACGUUGUGACGUUUGGUAGCACACAAAGUGUUCCUCCGGCACACGGGAGUUACAUAAUCUGAUAGUCAUAGGAACAUGUAUAAGUCGUGAAGAAAGCAACAUACUAAACGAUCGGGGUGCUAAGCUAAUGGAAUGGGUGAUGUCAAUCAGAUCAUUCAACUAAUGAUGUGAUCCCGUUAAUCAAAUAACAACUCUUUGUCCAUGGUUAGGAAACAUAACCAUCUUUGAUUAACGAGCUAGUCAAGUAGAGGCAUACUAGUGACACUCUGUUUGUCUAUGUAUUCACACAUGUAUUAUGUUUCCGAUUAAUACAAUUCUAGCAUGAAUAAUAAACAUUUAUCAUGAAAUAAGGAAAUAAAUAAUAACUUUAUUAUUGCCUCUAGGGCAUAUUUCCUUCAGAUGGAACUUAAAACAUACUACAAAUCACUUCAUGUUUAACAGUGCCAAAUGCAAAAAAAUUACUAACCUUCUGUGCACAAGCUAGAAACCUUCUGCCAGUAUCAACAGAUUCAAAUGCCACAUGCUUCUCACACAAAGAUCCAUGCCCACAUCUAAAGCUAGGCAGAUCUGUAGCCAAGCCACUCCAUUCCUCACAGGAUAUUGUGGCAGGUGGCUAAACAAAAGAGAGACAUUUGGAAUCAAUUGAGAGAGAAACCCUAGCUGAGAAACCAUAGACUGGAUUUGUGUGAGAUUGAGGAGCACACUAACCUUGCUGGUCACAGAGUCAUCUUCAGAAGAACUGGGAAGAUCAUCCCAGGACACCAUGGUUGCUGCUAGCUGAAGAUGAGAAGGGGGUCUGUUGGUGCUAUUGGACAGAGGAGAGAAGGGAUCUGGUGGUGCACGAAUUGAAGAUGAAAGAUGAGGAAGAAGAAGGGGAUCUGGUGGUGGGGACUGGUGGUGGACCAAAGCUAUAUGUAGAGUGCAAGUUGCUGAGUGGGUGUUUGCAGCAGGUGCAAGUACAUGCUUGCUUUUGAGUUCAGUUGUGCUGAGAAAGGGGGCCUGGAAUAACUUAGUUCAUUUAGUACAGCAAUUAGUUUGCAAAGUUAGUUCAGUUGUGACAGGAAUUUCUGUCAGUAAUUUGAAAGCAAUGAGGUUAAGUACAAUCCAGUUAACUUUGCAAACUAAAUUCAGUUAACUAUAAAAAUUCAGUUAACUUUGCAAACUAAAUUCAGUUAACUAUAAAAAUUCAAUGAACUGCAAACUAAAUUCAGUUAACUAUAAAAAUUCAGUGAACUGCAAACUAAAUUAAAUUUGACAGAAUUUGAAUUAGGUAACUUUCUGUCAGAAUUAGUUUAACUACACUUCUAACAUGAAAUACAUAUGUCAAGCAUUUCAAAGCAAGUAGGUCAAGCAGGCUUCACAUUACUGACAUAUUAUCCUUUACAACAAGCAUUACAACUAAUACUUCAUACUGAGCAAACAAAAGCAACCAUUUUAGUAUGCUCAGUUUACACACUUGCACCUACUCAAUUAACAACACUUCACUUCUUCAUAAUUAAGGUGAAACACAUCACACAAAGCACUAUAACAAAACCAAUCAUCAGCUUUAGCAGCAUCAAAAUCUCUCUACCUAAUCCUAAAAGCAUAGCAAUUUGCUGCUUGGUAGCAUACUUAUUCUCACUGGAGCUGCCAUAAUUAUCUCUUCCAACCCUGCCUCUCCCAGCCAUGACCCUUCCAGCUAUGCCUCUGCCUGCCAUUGAUUCAGUCCUCUGCCUCUCAAGCUCUUCCCUCCUGUCCUCAGCUGCACCAAUUGCAUCUAUAACAGCAUCACCAAACAGACGCCUUGAUUCAACUAGAUGCUGCACAUAUUCAAGCUCCUAGUGCCAGAAAUCACAAGUGACAUGAUUAAUCAGUGGCAAAAUUAGUUAACCAUGUUAACCAACUCCACAAAAUUACAGAUUGAAUGAAUCAAUGGCAACCUAGUUAACCAACUACUGUAUUGCUCUAAACUACUGCAUUAGUUAACCAACUGAUUUUGCAACCUAAAGACCAAUUUAAUCAGUGCUCUGCUUCAUUACUACAGUGAGUUGACACGGCAUGAAUCUACUGAACUGGCACUUACAUGGUGGUUCACGCACUUGUAGACGAUCCAUCCAUCGUGAUCAUCGGUGCUAGACCGGUAGAACCUCACCUGCUCGCCGCAAUCCGGGCACCCGAUCAGUGGUACAGCAACGGAGCGGCCACGCAGCGCUGAGCGGAUGGAGCUGGAAGACGACAUGAAGGAGGAGACAGAGGAGGCGGAGGAGGGCGUCGGCAAUGGCUGCGGCGUGGAGGGCGACGACAUCGACAAUGGCUGCGGCGGCGCGGACGGGAGUUGGCUAGGGUUCGGAGGAGAGGAAGCGGAGAGCGAGAGGGGAUAAGGGAGCGACCAGGUGCGGGAGGGUGCGACCGGGUGCGGUCCGACCAGGUGCGGGGUGUUUAAUGGCCAGGUGUUGGCGCAUUUGCAAAAAAACUCUGAACUACUAGUAUUAACCCCCCCCCCCUGACCAGGUGCCGCACAUGUGGCGGUCAAAGCAUAGCUGGCAACGGCUGACUCGGCCAAGUCAGCGAAUACGUAGCUCAAUUCGUAUAUACGGACCAAAGUGAACCCUCUGCGCAAGUACAUGGACUGUAUUUCGGGUAUUUUGAAGUAGUGGUACUUAAGUGUCAGCCGGCUCAAGUUUUGUGACCUACAGUGAAUUUUUCUCCUCUAUAAACUGGCCUUAUGGCACUUUGAGUAAUGCAUUCAGGUGGGGACCCUCUCAGCCCUGGUGAUUGUUCGAAAAAAAUUCCAAAGUCUUCGUGUCUCCAUUGACAAUUAUGCACCAGUGCUUCACAAAAAACCCAAAAACCUUUCUUUAAAGCACUUCUCUGUGAUUCAAUAAAUUGACCCCCUUUUCCUUUGCCCUGCAUAAAAAAAUAUGUUUUUAUGCAAAAUUCCCACACCCAAAAUCCUGAAAGAAAGUAACUAAGUACAAUUGCAAGUUUGGAGAUCAGAACCCUGCCAAGUACUACUAAAGAGAUGGACGGAUCAUGGGGGCGACGAGGUCGAACCUCACGGAACGUGGUUACAGUUACACACGUUACGUGCGGACUUGCGGAGGCAGCCUAACAGAGGCGAUCAGCGGACAGACCCCUAAAAAAAUGCCUGAAGAAACAUGUUUUUUUCUUUCACGGUAGACACGGGUUUUUUUCUCGUGGAGACAUAAGUUUGAUUCCACAAGAGGCAUAGACAGCUGUGCCUCUCGAAAGACGAAAAUAAAUGUAUUUUCUGUUUUUCUCAUAAGAGGCACAGGUUAGCUUCACGUCAAGGCACAAGUUUGCUUUUGCAGAUGACACAAUUCAGAAAAAAAAUGCAUUUCUUUUACUUCCGCGAGACACACAUGUUAGCUUCUUGUGAAGACACAUGUUUGCCACCGCAAGAGGCAUAGCAACACCUCUCAAAAAAGAGAGGAAAAUAACGUGUUUUUUCUUUUGUGAGAGGCACAUGUUAGCUUCUAGUGGAGGCACAGCUGUGCCUCUUGAAAAGAGAAAAAAUCAAGAAAAAACGUGUGUUUCCGGCUUGUUUUUUUGGGUUUUUGUGAUGAAAUAAAGCUCAUUGAAACAUAUCAACAUGAAAUCUAGAUUCAAAGAUCUCGACACGGGGAUUUCAACGGUAAAAAUGGUUCAAAAUUUGGACGCACCGUUUACAAAAUAGAAUAUUUUGAAUAAAAUCUAAAAAAAGGAAAACUCUCAUGAUGCGACAAGUGGCACACCUGCAGUGUAUCACUUGUUGUAAUUUGAGGGGUGGGAGUGAUCUUUACAAAGAGUACUCCUUAAUUAAGGAUUUUGCUCUUUACUUCUAUUUACUUUCUUUCGUGCUUCUGCUGAGCCUAGCGGCUGGCCGAAUGUACACAUAAAUGGGCACAUGCCAGGCCGAGCCAUGGGAGGUGGCCUUUCCUGCCCAGGGCUUGAUUUGAAACCCUAUUCAACGUCUUAUACGCCAGUUAUAAGUGACUACUAAGAUGUCCGUGCGUUGCACGGAACAUCAAGAUGCAUUUGUAUGAGUAGUUAAUUUUAUGGGAGAAAAAAAUGAAUGAGGGAAGGCCUUAUCUGCAAAUAUGGAGAGGAGUGUGGGUAAAUUGUCAUAAUUUCCUUUCUGUCCGUUAGAUAUAGAUUGGACGGCCUAUAUUGCAGGAUGGCAAGCACAUCAUCAUCACCAACUCCUACUUUUUUAUAAGAGUAGAGAUUAUGCAAACCGGUGGACACCACCCUCACCCUUGGAAUCGGCCCAGGUAACUCUUGUUUUUCCUUUCUGGUUGGCAACAUUUGCCGCGCGUGUAGUUCCUGUUCGACCAGUUUAGAUAGUUUAUUUCUCAUCGGUUUUACCUGGAUUUUUCAAGGAUGGGCUUUGUAAGGGUUUUCUUGUUUCUUUUCCUUGUCAUUUUUAGUUCUUUUUCAAAAUUCAUAAACUUUUUUCAAAACCGUGAACAUUUGUUAAAUUUGCGGACAUUUUUCAAAUUCGUAAAAAUGAAAAUUUUGAACUUUUCCAAUUUUGUUCAUUGUUUUUUCCUUUUUUUCAAAUGUGUGAACUUUUUUCAAUUUCAACAACUUUUCUACAACUGACGAACUCUUUUCAAUUUUCGUGAACAAAUUUUACAAGUUAUUUUUCAAAUUUUUGUGAACAUCUUUCAAAUGCGUAAACAUUUAUCAAAUUAGGAACUUUUUCAGAACUUGAGAUUUUUUGAAACCCGUUAACUCUUUUCUGAAUCCGUGAACAUCUUGCAAAUGCAUGACCAUUUCCAAUUCGUGAAUUUUUUUCAACUUUUGCAAAAAAAUCAAAAUUCGUGAUAUUUUUCAAAUCCAUGAACUUUUUACAAUUUUUUAAAAACAAUUAUUGUUUUUUCAUAUAUGUGAACUCUUUCGAAAUUUAUGAACUAUUUUGAAACCCAUGAUGUUUUUUUCAAAUUGUUUUCUUUUUCAAAAAAAUAAAUUAAGUCACCGGUCAAACGUUUCGCCUGCACCUGAUCAACCACCUGGAAAUCGAUCAAAGGUCCACUUGUCAACCCAAUAGGCAUAACUAAUUGGGUCGGUCCAAUAGGCGCGCGUGGGCGCCGGUUGGCCGCUUUUAAGAAGCAUUUUUGUCCUUGCUUCUAACAUCUGGCAUGACACAUUGUUGUAGUAGAAUGGAUGAAAGUGUCACGAAAGACAUAAAAGAUAGACACGAUGUGAAACAGAAAGAAGAACAUUCUUAGGGCCAAAUAGAGAAGCUAGGUUUACACUUUAUUUUUAAAAUAUCUCCCAUAUAUUAAUUAUUUAGAAAAGUAUUACAACCACUUUUUACAGCAUAUGCUACGCAGGGAGGACAACUGUUAAUAAGAAUACCAUCAGACCUAUUAUCAAAAUGAAACUGGCUUGGCAAUUGACCUUAGACAUAUUAAAGCUAUUGAAAAAGCUAAAUGGUGCUAUGAGCUUCCUUCUUCAAAUCAACAAGAGGGGACCUGUCAAGAUUUUCAUUUGCAAGGAAAGUGGCCAUAAAAGCACGACCAUUUUUUCAAAAUAAUUGACAUGUGAAAGGCUAUACCGAUGUAUAGACUGGCGAGGCACGCCCAAAGCUUAGCUUCAUCCACAAUGGUGCACAACCCAAUAAAAUUCCACAACAAUAUGACAACGUCGACAGAAGCUCGUUUCAGCUAGUGUUAAGUAGGCAAUUGUCUUUACAAAGUCCCCUAAAAAAAUUCUGUUUACAAUGUAAGCCCUUGGACUGGUAGAAGAUUUAUGUACGGUAGCAUUGUGGACAACCAUGUGUUUUCUUGCAAUGAAUGGGGAGAACCCCACCAUCUCAAUUAAAAAACAUUGAAGCAGUUUAUGUGAAAAACUUGAUAAGAAACCAUGAUCCAAUCAAUGUGAGAAACUGGAUAAAAAAUCUUGACAACUUGUGGGGCAAUACGUUUUGCCAAAGCAAGGCACAACUUCAGGAUGUCAUGGAGAAUUUGCUUCGCUGCCUUUUGUUUAAUAUUCAAUUUGCCUUUUGCUAGUUAUCUAGCCGCACUAUUCUGUAAACUUGUACACACGAUUAUAAUGCAUGUCCAGGCCUUGCGGAGCAGAUAAGAGAGAUCGUGGAUCGAUUCCGUGGCUAGUGACGCACCAGUUAUGACCACGCGGAAUCACGCACGAUGCCACGAUGUCGGCGGCUGCCAUAGGAUGCUUCGCUUCCCUUUCGCCGGUCACGCCGCAGCCUCGCCCUGAUCGUCGUCUCUUCCUCCUAUUAGGCGUCAUGACCCCGAGAAACAGUUGAACCGGCAGGCGACGAGGGAUGCCAAUCGCGCAUACGGCUGCAAACAGCUUCAGCCAAAGAUGCCCAUCACUGGUCCCUCCGCCAAGAGAUUAGAAGCUGAUUCUUGAACAGGUACCCAUGCCCUAGUGAUUUUGCCAUGAUAAUUACUAAAAAAUAUGAACGAUAAUCAAUAUUUAGUUUUCAUUGUUGAAAUAGGUAAUUGAUGAUAGAUUGAUUAGGUAUUAGGGAUAGAUCUCAUCGGGGUUGACAAUCAAUAAGAUUUUAUCGAGGUAUUUUUAUAGAUUUGCUCUAAUUUCCAAUUACUAAGGGCACGUUCAAGACAUAGGUCUUGGUACGAUGCUUACGGGAAAUACAUAAAAAUUAACAAUUACAGCAUCUGUCUAAAAGUCUCUACCUCUGGUGCUAAUUGCAAUAUACAGAUGCUUUUCUGAUUAGAUUGGAUAGUGUUUGUUCUCUGCAAAAGCAGAUGCAAGCGCUCAUCAAAGAAAAGAAACGGUCCGCGAUUUUCCGCGGGGCGCUGGAUUUGUUGGUAGCGCUUCAAAAUUUCCAUCCUUGUCUGCAGUUUCUGUGAGAUUUAAUCUUGGGAUCUAAUGAAAGCGGGGAAAAUGGCCAGGAAGUUGGUUUUGAUGACAUGCUCUAAGGGGCCCCGAGCUUAAGCUUCGCCCCGGGCCCCUAAAAUCUUAGGACCGGCCCUAUAUCCUCUUAUCUAAAAAAAAGUUCAAUUGGCAGUCUAAGGGUUGUCUCUUGCAACGAACACAAUAUGGUCUGUGGUGGACUGUUGGUCCAUAUCUUUAUCCUUGGCGUGUGUUCUUCAUAGUUUUAUGAGUAGAUAGGGUGCAUCAGUAUAUGGAAGCAAAGAAGUUGUCACUUAAGUCAGAACAAGUAUAAUAAGGUAUAGUCCGCAGGCUGUAAAGAUUAAAUUAUUAUAUUUUUGCUAAGUUUGAUAAUAGAGAAGAGAAGAGAGAAGGGAAGCGGGCUAUAGAUUAAUAGCCGCCUACAACACAAAGUACAAGAAACGUUCUAAAAGUGUAAGGUGGGCCAUGCAUUAAUAAACUAGUACUAUUUAGCAAUUAGCUACUAUACAUAAUGACUAGUAUUAGGAUGGCUAUAUAUGAUAUGACAACUCCAUAUUCAAUUGUUGGCUAUACUAUUAACCAUGCUCUCAUCACAACCACAAUCCUUAUGCCAUGUGGCUCUGUGGUGCACUGUUCGAGUUGCAGAGGUGCAGCCCAGCAUGUCUGUUCCUAUCCUGUUGUUGGUGCUAGUACUACUGUUGCACGUAGUCAUCCGGGAUGGGCAGGCUCGUGGUACUGGCGCCACUAUGAUCAUGGCUGUUUGCUGUCUCUGGCCUCCGGGUAUGCAGGUGUCCAUGUGCAUGUACCUCACUGGAUUCUUAUUAUUUCUCGUGCCUUGCAAAGUUGCAGGUGGACUGAACCUGUAGGGUCACGCGCUUAAGGAAUUACGAUACGUUGAGUUCUAUAAGAGUUAAGAAUAUAAGAAAAUAUUAUCAAAAAAAUUUCAGGAAUAAAAUAUAUAGUUUUGAAAGAAACUAGAAGCAUUUUGAGGCUACUAAAAGGGUUUCGAGGAAUACCGGAUAAUACCAUAUAGGUGGAAUUUGUACCCAGAGACCUAAUAUAAAUAUGGAUGGAAUAUGAUAUCAGUAUCAUGGCGUAUGUUCACAGCCUAAAAAAGCGUUGAAACUAUCAACUGCUUGCUGCUGAGCUUCUCCAGUCAAGUUUGUUUCUUUCAGUGGGCCAGGGAGAUAAUUGCUUACUACUUUGUGCAUUUGGCAUCGAAGUAGCUACUUGCUGGACAAUGGAGGACAUCGAUGAAAAAUGAAGUAAAAGUGAAUUUGGCACCGACAUACAUAGUGGAGGGCCUUAGAAUACUUUUCUACCUUGGUCGCUUGAUUUGUUAGAUUGAAUCCUACAAUUUUUUUUUCUAAGAAAUGAUUUACAAUACAUAUUUUAGGAGAAGCUUGCCCGGCUUUAGCGAACUGAAGCCUUUAAAACGUUAACAACACUUAGUGACAAAAUAAGCAGAAAGAUUUGAUACAGACCCUAUAGAGCCAACGACUCAAGAGCCAAAAACAAACGACAAACUAGAAACCCAUGACGAAACAUCGAUCGGCAAGCAUGAUCUACCACCCUGUUUUCCGCCGAUCUCCCUGAAUUGUAGUGCAUUCCAUAGAAAAUCUAGCUUCCAUUCUAACAUAAAUAUUCAUUCAGUACAAAUCCGAUAUGGUUACAAAAUAUUUUAUUAAAUUGCAUUGUGGUCAUUUAUACAAGUGUGAUAUAUGUGAGCUAUAUAAACUGGCAUUUAUCUUGUCAAGUCGUGAAUCUUUGUUCAACAGUCUAUGGCUUGUCUUUUGCAGAACCUUUUGUCAUUUCUGUGGUUCUAGGUCAAAUGUAUAAUCAUUCCGAUCGGCAGUGGGCCUGCUCUAUGGCUUUGAGCCUUUGACAGGCCAAAUGAUGGGCUCCAGUGAGGGCAUAUACAAUGGUACUAUCUUAGUAGUGCCACGUAGGAUAAAAGAUGAGGUGAAGGAGAGAGAAUUCAUAAAAAAAGCUUUGUCUUCUCUUAUUUAAGAGAAAACAAAAGAUAAUCUUUUAGCAUAAUAUGUCUCACCACAUUUUUAGGAAUAACUAGUUAUUGAAGAUAAGGCUAAGAAAUGACUCAUUGUAGACAUUUUUUUUUGUCAUCUCUAAAUUACAUGCAAGAAUUAAGAUAAAACUAUUUUAUCAAUCAUUGUACAUGCCCUGAUAGCCCCAUCAGUCUGCAUAGAGUGUAGAUUCCACCACUGCGUGUGUGUUCUGGGCCAGCUAGUAAAACCAGAGAUAAGGCAAGCUCAACCGGCAAUGCAACAGGAGGCUUCCCAUGAUCCCAUUGAUGGCUGGCACCCCCUGAUGGCAUGGCGAAAUUUAAUGUUGAUGGAGCAGUUGCGCAUAACAGACAUGGAGGUGCAGUCGCGGCAGUGUGCCGUGAUCAUACUGGGCUGUAUCUAGGUUCAUCGGCUGUGGUGUACCAAGGGGCCAGCGAUCCAGUGAUCUUGCAGACUUACGCAUGUAGGGAAGCGCUGGUUCUAGCAGAAGACUUACACAUACAACAUUUGAAGGUGGCGUCAGACUGCCUGGUUGUGGUGAAUGAUAUAAACCAGGGGAUAGGAGGUUCCCAUUCGGCCAUCGUACAUGAAAUAACGAGACGUAGAGCUAGCUUUACUUUCUGUUCUUCCGUUCAUGAACGUAGGAAUCAUAACUUUGAGGCUCAUAAUCUCGCCAAGUUUGCUUGUAAUCUCGGCAUAGGUAGACAUGUUUGGUUGGGCUUCCCUCAUGACCUAAAUCUUGUACACCUAUGAACAUUGUUAUAGAUCAGUAAAGCGUGGAGAGAUUUAAAAAAAAAAACCCACUGCUUUUGUGUUCUGCUGGAUUCUGCGUGGAAAACGUAGAUUUUUUUUCCAUUUUAACGUAGGAGCUGACUCAUUGCUCGCCCGUGUAGUCUUGCCUAGGCUGGUUCAGUGCGUGUAUGCUCGUUCGUUGGGGGACAUGAUGAGGUGCGAGUAGAUUGCAUGGGGUGAUGAGGAUAUACUGUGCAAGUGUGCAACUCGGAUCUUGGGAUGAAAUGAUUGGCUGGAUUCAUGAGUGAGGGGAGACGAGUCGGAAAAAGUGAAGGAGAACCAUGAAAGCUCAUCAUAUCUCCUUCAGCAUGUGAUGCUACCGGUUCACACACGUAGAGCAUAUUUACUUGGAUGUGAUGGUAUUCCUACCAUGAGGUAUGAUGGGGCGCCUCUGGUGUUAUUACGAUUGAACAAGGCUAAAACAGGGUAAGGGACCCAUCACCCGCGCAGUGCCUUGUGCUCCGGGGAAUUCUCCUCUCGGGCGGGCUACCUAGUCAUUGAUGGAGAACACACGAGAUUCAACAGGGACAAGACAUGCACUUUCUUGGACCCCGGCCGCUGUGCUCUUGUCACGGCAUCUCGUUUCCUUCGUUUUCGGCCAAGGCUUUCGCCGGCGACGACGCCGUGUCGUGCCUCGCGUGCACGCGCUCUGGUUGUCGAUGAUGCGAUGGGGACGCGGCUGGUUAAAUUCGGAGCAGCCCAUUGUGUGGCCGGCGAGAGAAUGCCUGCAUUGCGUUCUGGCUUGCCCUCGAGUCGUCGUGGCUGGUCGUCUCCAAGCUGUCGUGCAAAGAAAAUGCAUUCAGCCAGUGAGAGCAACUCCAACUGACCGACCCAGACUUGUCCAUACGUGUUCGUUUAGGUUGAAACGGAUCAAAGCACCGACUAAACACACGGACAAAAACCCAAACCAUGUCUACUCGUUGUUCAUCCGGACAUAUUUCACGCCCUAAAUUGCGCCUGGUUUGCAUCAAUACGGACAGGAAACAAACACAGUGCGCGUCCUCUCAGGGUCCGUUGCAGCCUCACCUGUAGGCCGCCCAACCACCGCCUGCGGUAAUAUUAAACGUGGCCACCUACCUCGGGCCCGCCUAGCAGUGGGUGAAAGCUGCCGGUCGCCGUCCUUUUUAAUGGAAGCGUGCGGCGAAUCCGGCCUCAUCCACUUCCCUCCACAAUCCAUAUCUAGCCAAGUUGCCCCCUCACCGGCGACAAGCAAACCCUAGCUCGCCUAGCUCGCCAUGGGGUUUUUAGCAACGGCAAGGGCAAGGGCAAGGGCAAGCUCACCCCCGAUGCCAGCUCGUCCCGGACGCUGCCGCCGCGGGAAAGGAGCGCAUGUAUAUCCCAGUGUGCCAGGCGAGGUAGCACUGGCCGUACCGUCAGGCGCUGCCCUAUCCGGAUGUCAACCUGCCGCAUGGUUGGCACCAUGACCCGCACAACAUCCCGGUGCCGGCAGUGCCUAGUUGGUGCUAGUGCAUGCCGAGGAGGUGUGCAGGCUCCACGAGCUGCUGACGCCGGAGCAGAGGCGGCACCCUUCGGACGCGCCAGACUAUCCCAACUGGGAGAUCUGGUUCGCACUGGAGCACGAGCAGGAGCGCCUCCACACGGCGUGCAGCUCAACCCCGCCGUCCCACCGCCGCCCCUGGAGGUCAAGCCGGAGGAGGAGGCGGCGGCCUACCAGGCCGCACUGGAGGCGACCUUGCUCAGGCGCUGCCCGAGCCCAAGGUCGAGCCGCUGCCGCAAGAGCCCGUGUCGGAGCGGUACCAGUGGACCGGCCAGCUCCGCGAAUGGGUCUGCGCGCCGCCCGUGUGGCUCGGCACGACGCCGGAACAGGAGACGGCGUACCUCCAACAAUGAAGGACGCGCACGCUGGACACAGGAAGAGGAAGAGGAGCGCUAGGAGAGGGAGGCGGAGGAGCGCGCCCGCCAGCCAGCGGCGUAGCUGGCAUGGCCUGGGAGACGGCAUUCCCCUGGGCUGGCCCGAUGCCGGAGCUGAACGACCUCACCGGCCCAGGAAAGGACACUAAUGCCUAGGGCAGUGCGCAGGGAGGUGCAGCCUUUUUUAAUGUUUAAUUAUAUUUAAUUAAGUUUAAGUAGACUUUGGCCGGCGAUUGACCGGCGUUUUAAUGUUUAAUUAUGUUAGUUUGGACUUGUUCAUGUCGGUUUUUUAAGUCCGUGCACACAAAAAAUGCAACGAGCCAGUGUUGAGUGCAUACGCCUACUCAAACAAAAAACAGACAUAGUGAUCCGCUCGGUUAACCUAAACGGAUAAAAACGGACAAAACACGUGUCUGUUUAGGUCACUGGGUCGGAGUUGCUCCGAGUAGUGUAUUGAUGGAUGGGCUGCCAGAUUUGACGGGGUCGCCGGGUAAAAUCAUCUGGGUCCAUCCAUUUUCUUUGAUAACUGAGGCAAAAGAUUUGCGUUAUCCAUUAAUUACUCACAAAAGAGUUGCCUAGCUGAAUUAUGGAAAACCGAGUGAAAAUCAUGACAACCCGCUGAGCGGCACACAUAGGAUAUCCACACACGCCACUCCAAAGAGGGCCUCACCGAGACAAUACAAGGACGGCGCUGUCAUCACUUCUCCCUAGAGGUGUCAUCGCCAUCGCAAACUCUGAUAAACGACUCCGACUUCGCCAAAGACGAUCGUCAAACCAACCCACAUUGAAAAGGCCAUGUGGAGAGUCACAUGAAGAACCAUGCCAGACCUCAAUCACCGCGAUGAGGCAACAUAGCUCUGAAACCGACGGAGAGCUAUGAAGGAGAACCAAACAAGGCUGGCGUCGUGAAAGAUCACUGAAUGGACCACUUGCUACCCAUCAUCGUUCGCCAUUGGGCCCCUCCACCGCAUUUUCGACUUCAUCGCAACAAACCAACCGAGGCCAUCCCACGAACACGGCGGAGAAGAGCCGACUACCUCAACCAAAGUCACAUCUCCUUCAUCACUCACCGUGACACCGUUACCACAGAAGCCUCAAUGCCAACACCAGCGCCAUCAACAGGCCCUGCUUGCAAGUGCCAAACUCCAAAUACGAAGCCCCCAAGAGGGAAAACGACACGAAAGCGUCGUCAUCGUCCGAUCGCAGAGGAUCAAAGGUUUCUACGGGAGCAACAACUAAGACCGGAUCCAUGCAGGAGGGGUCCGACAGCAAUACGGCGAUGCGUCCAAGAAGGUCAACGAUGUCCGCAGCUGUCACCAUCGCUGGUCACGACAAAUUGUCGUGACAGGGUCUUCACCCAAGCUCCAGAAACACCCUCUGCCACACAUCAACUGGCACCAGCGCUGGCAAGACCACCAGUCACUACCAUUGAACCCGCCCGCCGACGAAGAAGCGCCGAGAUCCACCGCAACCAACCGCACCUUGCAGAGGCCACCGGCGGUUAAGCUCCAGCGCGAGGCACCGGAACUAACAAUGGUCGACUGAACGUAGGACCAACGGACGCAGUGCGAGCCACUAGUAGAAAACAGGGCUUUGGUCCAGGCCGGGUCAGCCCAUUAGUCCCGGUUCAGUUUAGAACCGAGACCAAUGUGGGCAUUGGUCCCGGUUCGUGAGCCCAGGGGGGCGGCCGGGCCACGUGGGCCAUUGGUCCCGGUUCAUCUGGACCUUUUGGUCCCGGUUGGUGGGAUGAACCGGGACCAAUGGGCCUCGCUCCUGGCCCACCACCAUUGGUCCCGGUUGGUGGCUUGAACCGGGACCAAAGGCUCCCCUUUAGUCCCGGCUCAUGUCACCAACCGGGACCAAUGAGGUGCCUAUAUAUACCCCCUCGCGCAAGAGUAGAGCACAAUGCUCUGUUUUUUUGGCCGAGGGGGAGAGGGCUUUGUGGUGCUCUAGCUCACCUCCUAUGCACAUGAGGUGUUCGAUGGAAUGCCCGAGCCACACUACUUAAGCUUUCUCCUCUCGAAGCUCGACCUCCAAGCUCCAUUUUCCUCGAGAUUUGUCUAGAUUUAGCGGUCCAUCACGCCCCGUCCCCGUCUUCACCGCCGUCGAUCACCCGCGCCGAUCUCAUCACCGACACCACCGUGGUGAGCCUCUUGUUCUUAUCUUCUUUCUGAAAGGAAAAAUAUUCUUACUUGUAUGUUUAGAUAGAUACUUGUAUCAUUUUCUUACAUUUAUUAUUGCAUCUUAUAUAGUGCGAUGGUUUUGGAAUCCGCCCCCGUCGGCCCUCGUCCUGUCUAUGAUUCGGAUGUGGUAUGUAUAUUAUCUUUAUAACUAUUGGUUCAUUUAUUGUUUAUGAAAAUUAUGCCGACCAACGUGACAUAGAUUUUAUUUAUCUAGGAUGUAUGUGAAUCGGAAAUGCCAACCGACCCUAUUGUCGAGAGGUUAAAUUUAGUUGAAGAAGAAAACAAUUUGUUGAAGGAAAAAAUAAAAAAAAUUGAGGAGGAGAAGAUGAUAUUGGAGUUGCAUGUUGCGGAUGUCGUCGAUGAUCACAAGAUCAAGAUGGAUGCAAUGCGCUUGAAGAUUAGAAAGAUUAGAAAAUAUGCCAUUCAUACCGAGGCUUGGUAUCAUUAUGCCGUUGGAUCAAUUGUUACCUUGGUUGCGAUUAUGAUCGCAUUUGUUUUGGCAUUGAAAUGUUUUACAUAGUUUCAAUGUAUGGUUUAAUUAAUUAGAUGCUCUGGAGAGCUAUAUGUUGUUAGAUGAGAACUGUGUAUGCACUUUGGUUUUAAUGUGAUGAUGAACUUCUAUUAAUUUGGACACUUAAUUAUAUAUAAUGCACGCAGAUGAACCGGCAAUGGAUGUACGGUGACAGACACACUCGCGAGUACAUUAAGGGCGUGCAUGAGUUUCUCGAUGCGGCUGAGGCAAACAAGCAGAAUGGUUUUAUGUGUUGUCCAUGCACUGAAUGUGGGAAUACGAGGUCUUACUCUAACCGAAAAAUCCUUCACUCCCAGCUGCUUUACAAGGGUUUCAUGCCACACUAUAAUGUUUGGACGAGGCACGGAGAAAUAGGGGUUAUGAUGGAAGACGGCGAAGAAGAAGAGUACGAUGACAACUAUGUGCCCCCUGAAUACGGUGAUGCUGCAACGGGGGGAGCUGGUGAAGAUCAAGAGGAACCAGACGAUGUGCCCAAUGAUGCUGCCACGGGUGAAGCUGCUGAAGAUCAAGAGGAACCAGACGAUGUGCCCGAUGAUGAUGAUCUCCGCCGGGUAAUUGUCGAUGCAAGGACGCAAUGCAUUAGUCAAAAGGAGAAGCUGAAGUUCGAUCGCAUGUUAGAGGAUCACAAAAAAGGGUUAUACCCCAAUUGCGAAGAUGACAACACAAACCUCGGUACCGUACUGGAAUUGCUGCAGUGGAAGGCAGAGAAUGCUGUGGCUGACAAAGGAUUUGAGAAGCUACUGAAAAUAUUGAAGAAGAAGCUUCCAAAGGAUAACGAAUUGCCCGACAGUACAUACGCAACAAAGAAGGCCGUAUGCCCUCUAGGAUUGGAGGUGGAGAAGAUACAUGCUUGCCAUAAUGACUGCAUCCUCUACCGCGGUGCAUACAAGGAUCUAAACGCAUGCCCGGUAUGCGGUGCAUUGCGGUAUAAGAUCAGACGAGAUGACCCUGGUGAUAUUGACGGCGAGUCCCCCAGGAAGAGGGUUCCUGCGAAGGUGAUGUGGUAUGCUCCUAUAAUAGCACGGUUGAAAUGUCUGUUCAAAAACGAAGAGCAUGUCAAGUUGAUGCGAUGGUACAGUGAGAACCGAAAGAAAGAUGGGAAGUUGAGAGCACCCGCUGACGGGUCGCAGUGGAGAAAAAUCGAGAGAAAGUACUGGGAUGAGUUUGCAAAGGACCCAAGGAAUGUAUGGUUUGCUUUAAGCGCGGAUGGCAUUAAUCCUUUCGGGGAGCAGAGCAGCAAUCACAGCACCUGGCCCGUGACUCUAUGUAUGUAUAACCUUCCUCCUUGGAUGUGCAUGAAGCGGAAGUUCAUUAUGAUGCCAGUUCUCAUCCAAGGCCCUAAGCAACCUGGCAAGGACAUUGAUGUGUACCUAAGGCCAUUAGUUGAAGAAAUUUUACAGCUUUGGAAUGGAAACGGUGUACGUACGUGGGAUGAGCAUAGACAGGAGGAAUUUAACCUUAAUUCUAUUUUUAGCAAAAAAGAAAAAAAAUCUAUUUUUAUAGUAAACUUAUUCAUAAAUUAGUGAUUUACACAAAUUUUAAAAAAAUACAAAUUUAAACUAUUCAAAAUUUUAAAACUAAUGGCACUAACAGAAAGUUUAUAAUUUUUGUGACCUAAAAUAAAAAAGAAAUCACUAAAAAACUAUAAGUAUUUAGUUGUAAGUAUAAAUAAAAAAUAAAUAGAAAAAAUUCUAUUUUUAUAGUAAAGUUAUUCAUAAACUAGUGAUUCACACAAAUUUUUAAAAAUUCAAAUUUAAACUAUUCAAAAUUUAAAACUAAUGGCACUAACAGAAAGUUAUAAUUUUUGUGACCUAAAAGCAAAAAGAAAUCACUAAAAAACUGUAAGUAUUUAGUUUUAAGUAGAAAUAAAAAAAAUAAAAAACCAAAAAAAUGUAGAAAUAAAAAAGAAAAAAACCAAAAAAAAUGCCACCUACUGGGCCUCCACGGCCUGAAUACGACUAGAAACCCUACAUGGGCCAGGAUUCAGGCCCGCAGAAGGCCCAAUAGGCCCACAUGCAGUAGCAAGUUUAGGCCCGAAAGCCUGCAUAAGAGAGGAGCUCGAAUGGGGAGGCACACCAGCGCUUAUAAACAAGUGCCGGCGCCCUUCAGCUAGCGAUGUGGGACUAAACUUUUGGGCACGGGGCAGCACAAGGCCAUUGGUCCCGGUUGGUGGCACCAACCGGAACUGAAGGGGACAUUGGUCACGGUUCGUGGCACCAACCGGGACCAAUGCCCCCCUUUAGUCCCGGUUGGUGCCACCAACCGGGACGAAAGGCCGCCGCUUCCCGCCCUUUGGGCUGCUGAAAAUUGGCCUUUGGUCCCGAUUGGUGGCACGAACCGGGACCAUAGGUAGGCAUUCGUCCCGGUUCGUGGCACGAACCGGGACCAAAGGUGUGGCUAUAUAAGCCCACACUUGCAAAAUUUUCGCCAACUUCUCCCAUUCCCCUUCGCCGACGCCGUCAGGUUCCUCCUCCUCGUCAUCACCGUCGCCGCGCCCUGCCCCAUCCCCGCGCGCUUGCCAUCGCCACACCCUGCCCCAUCGCCGUGCGCUCGCCGUCGCCGUCGCCGCGCCCUGCCCUGUCGACGCGCCCUGCCCUGUCGCCGCACCCUGCCCCGUCGCCACCCUCGAUCUCGCGCCGCCCUGAGCUCGCGCCACCCUCGUGCUCGCCGUCGUCCCCGGGCUCGCGCGGUGAGCCCCUACCUCGCGCGGUGAGCCCUCCGGAUCGAGCACAACUUCGGUAAAGAGACGAGGCCCGAAGAAAAAGUUGAGCUCGGAUGAAAAGUUUGAGAUCAUAGCAAUCACGCCCGACGGCCAACCGAUUGAACCCCUCAGGACAAAGAGCGCAUUUGUUGCUCAGUGCGGGGUUCUGGUUAGGGACAAGAUCCCGAUAAGCAUCCAGCAAUGGUUUAAGCCGGCUACAGAAGACCCUGAGGUGUCUUAUGUCAAUGAUAUGCAGAAAAAUGAUCUUUGGACUGAGCUGAAGUCAAAUUUCACCCUACCACCAGAGGAUAAUCCAGAGAACCCAGUUAAAGAGAAAUUAAUCAAGUCUUUUGCUCUUAAGAGGAUGGCAGAACUAUUCAGGAGGUGGAAGAAAGAGCUGAAUAAGUUUGUCGAAAAUAAUGAGACACCAGAAUUCAAGACCAGAUAUGAGAAGAUCAGAGAUCACUGGCCCGCAUUUGUGGCCCACAAGACAUCGGAAAAGAGUAAGAAGAUGUCGGCGACAAACAAGCAAAAUG
rnacentral:lncRNA from 1 species